GUUCCCAGUGGGUACGGUUGUUAGUGAUAAACCCUAAAGCCAAUCGGUGACAUAGGCUUGUGGAUAUAUUAAGUAUUUUUCUUAAUUAAUAAAGGGCAAGUUUUAUUCAUAUUUAUUGUUCGCAGUACAAUAUAUAUAUAUGAAUCGUCCGUUGAAUCUUCGUUAAGAAAAUAUAUUCCUAAGAGUUAGGAAUUUGAGAUAUAUAUUUCUUAGUACAAGANGAGAUAUCAUUAAUUGACGUGAAUAGGAUUCAAAUAUUCUUCUCUCUCAAACUUUCGUAAGUCCACAAUAAUUUUCACAAGAAGGAACGUAGACAUCGGAAGACUGCUAGCACCGUCUUCGUGAUCUGCGACUCAUCUGUUCCAUACGACGGAAGGCGUUGGAUCGGGAUCAAUUCCGUGUGGAUACGCGUAGAGGCCGGGCACGUGCGCGGCUAAUCGGAGGAUCAACUUCAACCGUACAGUAGAUCAAGAGACCUUAACUGGUCCAAGGUAAUGUAAUCUAAACUUCGGAUUUGUUUAGAUUAGAUUUUAUUUUACAUUGUAACAUGAGAAUGAUCCGCCGGCACUGGAUUGAUUUGUUUUGUUUUGUUUCAUAUGUGAUAUGGAUUUCGUUUUCGUUUUUCCGCUGCGAUUUUUUUAAGUGCCGGAUAUAUUUUCUAACAACGGUCACCCAAGGGAAGAGCUUAACCCACCAGGUCCAAAGGAGGCACUGCAAACAUGUUAGUCCAACAGAUAUCCACAUAUAUAACAUCAUAUAAUUCAUGCAACUAACAGUUAUCAUGUUCAUGCCUCACAACAUGCAACCAUGCAACUCAACAUGCAUCAAUGUAAGUCAUGCAACUCAACGUGCAACAAUGUAAGUAGCUCUACUGAUUCUACUUUCUAUCUCGCUAUCCACAACUUUUCCACAAUUUAUACCUCUUGCUAUUUUACAUUUUUGGCCAUUUACUUCUAAGGUUCCUCUACCUUAGAUCUAUAUCAUUCACUCUUUGCUCUUAAGGUUUCUUCUACUUUAACCAAGCUAGCCACCCGACUCGGCCUCGAGUCAAUUAUCUGCGGAAUACCGCAUAUAGCCAGGCUCGAGGUGAAGGACGUCUCAUAUGCACCUCAGCCUUAAAUCCACUCAACUAGGAUGCCAAAUCCACUCUACUAGGAUUCAUCCUCAGCUCAUAAUGCAUGACACUCAUAUGCUUGUCACCCAAUCUCACUGGCUAACCGUAAGGUUAAUCCCCGACUCACUUCUCAAUCUCAUAGGUGAGGAGAAUCUGCGCUACGCACACCCAAGACCAUUUGCUGGGUAAUUACGUUAACCCAUAGUGUGACAACUCCGGAGCUCACUGCUUGGGUGGAGCGACCACCGCCAAGCUCAAAACAGACUAUGUGAGUAUGAUCCAAUCCUCUCAGCUCGAGGAUACCCUAUCAACUAGGGAUAACAACAAACUCGGGAAGUCCACCAAUCCCAAUAUUCAUGUCACAAGUGUCUCUACUACACUAGUUUCACAUGCCACUCUUCUAUGUCAUUUUCUGGUUCAAGUUCAUCACUUGUUCUUAGCACUAUAGGAUUCCAUGUCAAAACCCAAUCCUCAUGCAUCCACUAGAUCAUGUGUCCAACUCACAUUUCUAUUUCUACUAUGGAAGGAUGCAAGGAAUUAAAUUCCAUCUAACCACAUAUCUUACAAUGCAUAAUAUCAACAUAUACACCCAAUGACACUAGGUUCAAUGCCACUCGAUCUACUUGACAUUCUAGUUGUCCACAUCGAGUAUUAUAGUUUACAUGUCCUUAUUUUUCAAUGUCGAGUUCUCUAACAAACCUAGAGUUAUCGACCCAAGUUCACAUUUCAUCUAUCUCAUGCAUUCAUAUGUUUUACAAUUAACUACUAUUAUAUGCAUCAAUGAUAAAUAACAUUUCACUUCGACAUGAAAGUGAGCUAAUCUCUUCGGUGAGCACAACCCACCUCGCAACACUCUCUGAUUGCUUGUCGACACUUGCAAUCGGGCUCCCGUGGCACUCGUCGCCCGGUUCGGCUCGACUCCCAAUCGACCACCGAACGCGCACCAAUCCGCAACCUAGAGUUAUCUGGGACCUUUCUCUAACCUUUAAUUAGAGAAACGUAGGGUUAAUUUAGAUCAAAACCCCAAAAUUCCCAAAAGCCUCAUUUCUAAGCCCUAGCAUGAGCAUAUUCUCCAAAUAACCCAAAAUCUCAUGGAGGAACAUGCAUAUAAUUAGCCUAGGGAUCACUAGAAUGCUAUUCAUGAAGGAUUUAACCAAAUCCUAAACUCUUACCAAAAUGCGAACCUCGAGUCGGAAGCACGCCGCUCAACCGGGCGCACGAGAACUCGAACCGUCGCUCUCAACACGUUCUCAAGCUCGCUCUCCGCCAACCCCACGAAUUUGGGAGAGAGAUCUAGAGAGAGAAGGAAGAAAUCUAGAAAGAGAGAGGGAGAGUUCCUCUCUCCUCCAUGUGUGUGGGUGUGUGGUGGGCUGAGGAAGACGAAGAAAGGGGAAGAAACCCCUUUUUAAAGUCAAUCUCCACCACAAAAUUACAAGAAUGCCACUCUGCCUAGGCACUUUUCGGGUUCAGGGUCCGAACCCUGGCCCUAGGGUCCGGACCCCGUAGGUCCACCAGCCCCAAAAUUCAGCCUUUUUCAACUUUUCGCCGAUUCACUUUGUUUUCGCUCGUCGGGCCUUCGAAUCAUCUCUAAUCAUUCUGAGACCCCCAAAACACGUUUUCGAGCGCGUUUAGACCAUCUUUUCAUCCAUGCUUUGCCGGAUUUAGCCCAAGGUUAAACAUAGCUAUUCGAGCUCCGUUUUCGCGCCCAACACGCACCGAAAACACUUGGAUGCUCCCGAACGUCACCGGAACUACUCCAAGAAUAGCUUUCCAAACUAACAUCCAUCGUAACUUCAUAACUAUAGAAGUUCGGUAUGUUACAAUUUAAUUAAUCCCUAUAGACAUAAUGAAAUUAAUAUUGUAACAUUAUCUCAGUUUAUAGGAAAAUAAAGAUAGCAUGUUAUAGGAGAUAUGUUAUAGGAGAUGCACAUAAACUGAACAUGAAAAAAAUCUCAAAAAAAAUUCUACAUGGACACCAUUAAGUAAGAAACAGUUGCUUUUUCAUUGCCACAUAUCCACAAACACCUAGCCUGCAAAGAUAGAGCAUGGUGUUUUGAACUAAAAUUUUCACAUAUCCACAAACACCUAGCCACAUACACAUAAACUAAUUUGAACUAAAAUUUCUGAACUAAAGUUUCCAAACUAAUUCAACCCAACAUGCACACAAACUAAAUUUAAAAAUUGAAUCUAAACUAAGUUAAAAAAAAGUUAAUCACUCUCAAAAUUAAAAUAAAUUUUUGCAUACAAAAAUAUGAAAUUUUAUUUUCUUAAAAAUAUUGUGAUAUAAAAUUUUUUUGGUACCAGUGUAAAAAUUGAAAAAUCGUGCUCACUCGAGUUGGCGUCCGGGAUCGAAGUGUAGGGGCCGCGGCACAGGAUUGACGCAUCUCGCCUCGUCCGGAAUCGAUCGACUUGCGCAAAGUCGGGAAAGCGUGGGAGGAGGUGUGCAGGGGCCGCGGCUUCGUCCGAGCGUCGGAUCGGAAGGGAGAGUGCUAGCAGAGAGAGGGAGAAAGAGGAAAAGAAAGAGAGAGAAAGAGGAAAAGAGAAAGGGAGAGUGCCUGCAAGAAAAGAAAGAGAGAGGACAAAGAGUGUGUGUGUUUGCUAGAGAGAGAGCGUAGAGUGUGGAGGAGAAAGAGAGUAACAGCAUCUCCGUUAGCUUCUCUCAUCAAUAUUGCAUGGAUAUCGAGGCAGGAUGUAAUCCAACGGUAAUAAAAUCCCAAGCACCGGAUAUAGUUUAUUGUGUUCCAAUAAACCACAAGUCGCCACGUGGCGCAUUUUCAUGAAAAGUUCUAAUAUGACUUGAUAAUAGUAUAAUUUAUUGUGUUUCAAUAUUAUAUAUACUAGUGAAGGGUCCGCGCUUCGCAGUGGAUAGUUAAUUAAAAUAUAUAAUUAUUAAAAUUUUAAAAUUAAAAAAUUAUAACUAAAUAAAACAUUAUCAAAUUGUAUUAUGUACAUUACAAAAAAUAAUAUUUUGAUUAAUAUUUUCUUAAUUUUUGAAUUGUUAUAUUAGUCUAAUAACUUUAUUUAAAAAUUAAUCAAAUUUAAUAGUUUUGAAAACUGUUCUAUAAAUAAUUUUUUUAACUAAAAAAAAAAAUCUUGAUGCAUUGCUUAACCUACACGUCAACUAAAUUUCGUAAAUACAAAAUUAAUUUAAACUACAUCAAUCUUACUUCUUUUUUUUUAAUGUACAAUCUAUAUCUAAAUACUUUAAUAGUCUAAACGAAUUAAAAAAUAUUUAUAUAUUUAAAUUUUAUAAAAAAUAAAAAAAUUAAAUUGAAUUAAAAAUAUAAAUAAUAUAUAUAUAUAUAAUAUAUAUAUAUAUAUAUAUAUAAUAUAUAUAUAUAUAUAUAAUAUAUAUAUUAUUAUAUAUAUAUAUAUAUAUAUUCUGCCCAUAUCAUGAAGUGAGAAAAAUUAAAAUAGCAAAAUAAUAAAUAGAAAAUAAAAAAAGAUAAAACACUUCGCUCUCUCAUCUCCCUCCGAAUGGGCCCACCCACACAGGGCCUAUCCCUGCCGCAUCGCGCCAGAUAGACGCCUAGCGUCGCUGCUCCUCCGCCAGCUGUGCCGACGCCAGGCCGCGCACUGAGUAUCAACACGCCCAGCUCGCCCCGUCCACCGCGCCCUGCGCCUGCUCCCGCUCGCGCACCCCCGCCCGCGCCUUGCCUGCUCCCGCCUGCCCCCGCUAGGUGUAAGGACUGAGAUUUUGAUAGUGUAGCUAAACUCUUUGUUGAUAAUGUUUUUGUGUGUAUUUUAAUUACAAAAGCACUCGUCAAGUUUUAGGAGAUAACGAGUUUGAAUGGAGAAGUUACGCGACUUUUACUUUACACUUAAAGUGAAUAGUAACCUGAAUUUUCGGAGAGGCCAAGGUGUAGAGAUUGCUUCUGACGCGUAUCGGACUCUAUUCAUAGUGAUCCAAUAGUUCGUUUUCAAUGGUCUAACUAUUCUGGAACCGUUGGCGCUGAUGGAUUUUAGGUUUGGCACACGGAUUUUGAGAAAACUUGAGAUACAUAUAUUUUAUGUAUUUAUGUGCGGGUUUUGCCUUUAGGAGAGAGGAUGGGUUUCGUCAUGAAUCUGUGACCAAACCAGGUAAAACAAAAUAGUGGAUUUGUUGUCUUUGUCGUGUUGAUCGUACUGGUGCAAUCCGUUCGCAAAUCUGACGGACGGAUCUCCUGAUAUCGCGCGUCGAUCGAGGAGGGGUCAUUAAUGGCAAAAUGGUAAUUUUGGCGAAAAGCCCUACAUUUUAUGUACCGUUUUGCCUGAAAUCGGAUGUGGGGGUGUGUUCGCACGUUUUACUUGUGCUGUGAGGGACUUAGUAUGGAAACCUGAGUUUUCGUGGACUUUCGCACAAAAUUACACCUUGUAUAUAUGUAUACACAAGGGUUUCUUCAUGCUAACCCUAACCCUAGCCCUAACUGCGACCCUAGCCGCCUCCUUUGCUUCCCUCUGCCCUAGUCGCGUGCACCCUGGCCGCCGGCGCAAGCCUCCGGCUGCCGGAAUAGCCACAUUAUCAUCUUUGUCCUCUUUUUUCUUCACCAACCCUACCACCUCUGUCGUGGACCACUAGGGGGGAUCUAUACCCUCGGGCCCCCUCUGGCAGUGACCCCCGAUCUCCGGCAACUGUCCCCGCCGGUCGCCGCCGCCUCCGCGCUCCGCCGCGACCGCCCAGGCAACUUGCGGCUGGACUGCGCCAGCUCGGGCCGAGGGAGCUCUCUCUCCUCUCGCACCGCAGUCGCCUGCGGCCGCCCCUGCCGCCUCCCCUAGAGCGCCGGUGACCUCCUUCGCUGGCCGCAGCCCUUUCCGUGCGCCGCAGCAUCGUUGCUGCCAACUUGCGGCCAACCCAGGUUGGUGCGGCCGAACUCUGCAGCGUCGCGCUCCUAGCCACCGGCCGCCGUCCCCAUCCCUUCCCCUCGGUCCUAGAGGAGUCCCGCAUCACUCCCCUGGCAGGUCCAACCGUCGCCGUGGCCGGAGAAGCUCGCUGAGCCCGAGCUCGGCUUGUGCGGGCUCAGUUUGCUCCAUCGUCGCCACCGCCGCCUCCGGCCGUCGAUCGGCGCCAGCCCCGGCCUCCCCACGUCGGCCGCACCCGUCGGCAGCCGGCGCACCUACCGCCGAGCCGUCGUCGGCUGUGCCCUAGCUCCCACUACCCGGGAAGUCUUCGCAGUGCUGCUUUUGACUAUUGUUCUGGGUUGCGCACCAUUUUUCGGCAAUCCGAGGCUGUCCCGAUGCCUCCGGAGGUGAGCACGGUGAUCCCUUGUCAGUGCUGAUCACAAUGCUCAUCUUACUUAGGAUCAGCGGUUGCCGAAACUGUAUUUUCGGCGCAGUUUUCCUUUAGUGCGCGCUGUUCGCUGAAUGUUUAGGUCGCUCCCGCACCUCCCAUAGUGAGCCGUUGUGCUCCGGAUCAUGAGCACGGCCUCCGACAUGUCAAGACCUGUCAGUACGUGUCUUGGCGGACCUUGAAAGUCCUCGGUUUGCAUUAACGAGCCACAAAAUCACCAGAUUUACAUAAAAUAAUAGGAUUUUAUGUAAAUGUAGGGAUUUUUAUACAAUUGUGCAUCUUGUGGCUACUGUGGGCGAUACGUAUGUGUAUAUGGUGACCUCUAGACUGAUUGUCCAAGGUCCGAUAGCUUUCGCGAAAAUCGAAUAGCGAUUUCAUUGCGUUUUUCGACGAAAUUUGCCGGCGAAACGCGGUUUUGGUUCGAAUUUCAUCUGACGGUGUUUGUUUGCCCUCAGAGUUGUCGUUGAGCCUUGUCGGCUGGUCACCAUCGUCAUAUCGUGAGUUCGGAGAUGACGGGUGAGCGAUGGUGGGUUUCAAUGUCGAAAUUGACACUUCCGGGAACCCGGAUCCGAACAAUUAUCUGGCGAUAAUUGUUUAGUUGUGUAUUCUUGUAUUUGCUGCCAAGACGUUCAAAUCAAUGUAUUUUGUGGCAGCGGGUGACUCGUGGCACGAGUCGGUGAGUUUCGGAACACUUAAUGGAUCCCGACGACGUCCCGGUGUGAUUUUUGGAACUUCCGGCGAGUUACGGUGAUCGGUUUUGGAAAACCGAUUUCGGAAAUUUAUGUGGGGUUUGUGAGUUAGGUAUUUUUGAAUUGGUGGGUUGGUUACUGACCCGAUAGAUCUUCGUAGGUCCGGUUGACUCGUUGCGUACUUAGGUUUCCAGCGCAUUUGUGACAGGUGGGUGCUUCGAGCUGGUAGUCGGUGAGAUCGUUUCGCUUUCCUCUCCCUUGCUCUUGUAUAUCAGUACUUUGGUCUCUACAUGUCAGUUGCUUUUGUUUAUCGCUUGUUCAUCUAUACUUGUUGCUUGCAUGAUGAUUGUUGUUAGUAGACAUGUAGAACAGGCUUGCAUUUAUUGUAUAUCUGUGGACCUUGGGUCCAGGCAACACUUUGACUCCUUUGUCGUGUGUUUCGAUCUAGUUGAUCGUGGUUCGGCGUUGUAUGCCCUUGUAUUUUGCUUCGGCCAAGGCACUGGUUUUCGUAUUGAGCAUAUCAGCAUGAUUUAGUCACAGCACUGUGUAUUCUAGACACCGGUUGGUUUGGCCACCAACCAGAGGGUGUACGUAUCCGGAUAGGUCGUCGGUAGACGCAUGAAUCAAAGUUAGUGUAUGCUCUGUAACAGAAAAUGCUUAAGGUCUGCGAACCAAUAUGGCAGGCACCGGAUUGGGUUUGAUUUGGAUUAUAUACCCUUGAGGCAUAUGUUCAGUUGAGUUGUUGAUAUAGUAGUAGUUUGGUUCUUGCUCAUUUACUACCAUGUUUCUAUUACUACUGUAGUUGCUUUUAUAUCAUACCAUAUACAUAUCUGUUGUUCUAUCUCCUUUAUUUUUCAGUGAAUACGAUUUGCUUCCGUGGCUCUGUCGUACCCACUGGAAAAUCUUGAUUGUGGUUUCUCACCCCCUAUUUCUCCAGGUGGUUCGGGCAAGGAGUUGGCGUUUGGACCAACAGGAGGACGUCCUAGCUAGGCUACAAUAGCGGUCAUCACCCUGGUUACCUUUUCUUUCUGCAUUUAGUAAAUUGAAUAAUGAAUGGUUCAGUUAGAUGAUCCCUAUGAAUGUUUGAAUGUUCGUGAACUUGUUUGAGUUCGUGAUUUCCAUUAUGCAUGCGAUUGGGGAUUUUUUUGAUCCGUGGUUUUGGUUUUAUGGAUAAUUGGUUCUUGGAUUUGUGUAUUUAUGUAUCGUGGUUUUCUACCCCUCGAGGUAGUCGAUUUUCAAAAUGGAGUUUCCGAGUAGGAAACAGUUUUAAAAGGUUUUUGAAUGGUUUUUAUGAAUGAUUAAAUAGAGUUUAAAAAUAAAGCUUCCGGGUGGGAAGCACUUUCAAAUAGGAUGACUGUUAUACUGUGCAUCACAUCAUCCAGCGCCUAAGGAGUGUUUAGAGACAUGCAUUAUCUCUAAGGAUCACUAGCUGUAUGGAAAUGCAUCGCAUGGAUUAUUUGUAGAUUGGUGAAUGUAAGUUGUAGUUGUGAUCCUGAUGUAUUGUUGGUAUGCCAUACAAAUACAAAGGAGACUCUGUCCGAGUGGACAGAGGAACUUUGUAUUUGUGACGAGUUUGUACGUCAUGUGGGCCAGGUUGAAUUCAAAAAAAAAAUGGCACGUUUUUCGUAACUCUGAUUUCAAAAAUGGUAUUCAUUAUAAAAAAAGCUUUUAAAAUCGACCCCAGGGCGUGACACUAGGGUUUUGGAAGCUUUUACAGGGAUGGGUUUGCGGAAGUCGGAGUCGUCAAACCCGGCAGUGUAGGAGGAGAGGGGGGCGAGGCCGAGGGAGGAGGCGAAGGAGGCUACCUCGGAUUUGAGGCGGUCGAGGUCCUCGGCGGAGGAGGAUGCGGCAGUGGUGGUGGCGGUGAAGGUGGGUUGGGGCUUCUUCAGCUUCGAGAUCGCCAUUAUCAAACUUAGGGAGAAGGGUUUAGGGUUUUGUCGAUGGAGGAAAAAAAAACAACUUUGUCGUCGCCGCCUAAGCCGCCACCACCGUCGUCGUCGCCACCUAAGCUGCCACCACCGCCGUCACCGCCUAAGCCAGCCAAAUCUCUGCAUGAAAAAAGUUUUUUAUGAAAGAGAGAAAGAGCAAUAGAAUGGGAAGAGACAUAAUAGAGAAGGAGAAAGAGAGAGAGAAAGCAUGGGAGAGUAGGGGAGGGGGAGAGACAGAGAAUGGGGGACAGCCGUAGUAGAGAAGAGAGAGAGUGGGGACAACUAGAGAAAGAAGAGAAGAGAGAGUGGGGGCUAUCUUGGGAAAAAAGAGAGAAAGAGAGAGGAGGGAAGGGGGAAGAGAAAGAUCCGAAGAGAAAGGGACCCUGGGAGGGAGAGAGAGGAAAAGGGUUGAGAGAGGGAAAGUUAGUGUGAGAGAAAGAGAGUUAGUGAGAGAUAGAGAGAGAGAGGAGAAAGGUUGAGAGAGAGAGAGAGAGAGAGAGAGAGACACUUGUAUUAGAUGGGAGAGAGAGUAAGGAGAAAGAGGGGGACCCACCCGGAAAGAGAUAGAGAGGGGAGAGAGAAGGCCCCAUCUUCCCUCUAACGCCUACGACUCGACACAUAGAAUGGGCUAAUGUGCUCAUGCCACAUGUCGUAAAGGAGUGUCAAAUUAAAUAGUGUAUAAUAAUAAAGCAGUUUCAUGAGAAGUUUCAAUAUGACUUGAUAAUAGUAUAGCUUAUUGUGUUCCAACAUUAUAUAUAUAAAGCAGUUUCAUGAGAAGUUUCAAUAUGGAAUAGAAUGAGUGAAGCUAUUUAAUUUUUUUUAUAGAAUGAGUGAAAUUAAAUUAGAAUUUUAAAAUUAAGUUCUAAAUUAAAAUUUAUAUUCNUAUUUGAAAUUAAAUUAAUUUAUACAAAUAUUUAAAAAAUUAUCAAUAUGGAAUAGAAUAAGUGAAAUUAUUUAAUUUUUUUAACAGAGGAGAUUAAAUUAGAAUUUUAAAAUUAAGUUCUAAAUUAAAAUUUACAUUUCAAAAUUUAAUCUGCAAUAUUUGAUGGGCUUAAGUAUUAAAGACAUCUAAUUUUUAUAACUAUUUCUAAUUAAUGUAACUUAUAACUUUAGAUAUAUUUUUAAUAUUUUCCAACAACUUAAUGUAAAAGUAAUAUAAAUUUAUAACUUAAAAUUUUUUAAUGCAUAAAUAUUUAAAAUUUUCCAAAUAAAUUAUAGCUUGCUUGGGUUAGUAUAUAAACACAAAAGAAUAAAAUUAAAAAUUGAAAUGGUGUGCAACCAAAACCAAUGGAGGGAGCUAUUUAACAAUACAACAUAGUUGAAAGGGUUUCCAUGCAUUUUUACUUUAAACUUCAGUGGCAUAUUCAUUUUUCACCUCUCUCCAACAUUUCCUUUUUUUUUUUUAUACUCUUCCUAAGCAGGGACGGAGCUAUGUGAAGGCCCAAGGUGGCCAUGGCCCUUCUCAACUUCUCAAUAUUUGCUUAAUGGUCCUUCAUAGUUCUUUUUUUUUGGUGGGCCAUGGGUAGCUUUGACAUCCCUAGUUUUUAAUAUUUACUUAAUAGUAUGGCGCCAACAUAACUCUCUCUCUCUCUCUUCCUCCUAACUGAUAUACUCUUUUUAUGGAGGAAAAUAUAUUAAGACCAUCUUACUUAUAGAGUAUUUUGUAAUGUAUUUCUCUACUCUAAAAAUUUUAUUUAAUAAUUUUUAAAACUUUUAUUUAUCUUAGGUGAGCUCUUUUAUUUGACUAAAUCAAGGAUUGCACUAAAUUUAAUAGUUAUAUUAAUUUUAUUUAUAAAAAAACUAAAAAAUUACUGUUAGAUUUAGUAAAAUUUCUAUGUUAUUUUAAUGUGAUAAUAUAAAUAAAAUAAUUUGAAGUUAAACAUCUGAAAAUAAAAAAAUAAAGUUCAUGCUUUUUACAUUAUUUAUUUAACUAAUAAUUAUUUUAUAAAAAAUUUUCAAUUAGGAAAAAUUUUGUUUAUUAUUUAUUACUAAAUCUUCUAUUUGAAUAUAUUUUGGCCCCCCUCAAAAUUGAAUCCUAGCUUCGUCCCUGUUCGUAAGUGAUAGAUAUACUCUUAGCUUUUAAAAUAAUAAUGUAUAAUAAUAUUAUUAGUUCUUAAUAAGUAUAUUACUAAUAUUUUUUCUUAUUUCUUCACGAUAUAUGUUGGUCGCAUGGAACACAUCAGAGUGCCCACUUCAAGUAUGACGAAGCAUUUCAGAAUUUACAAUUAUUCGCUCUUUGUGAAAAUCCAAUUUCGAGAACUAAAAUUUUCGGAGUUUACAAUUAUUCGCUUAUAUCACCAACAAAUACUCAACAUUCAUUUUUGACAGGUACGUAAAAUUUUACAAUGAUAAUUUUUUUGCUGCAUUUUAAAGGAGUACUUAUUAUUUGAUAAUUCAACAAAAUAAUAUAGUAAUAAAUUAAGGAAUCUAAUUUAGUCUCUUUUUUUUGUCAUUUGAAACUUCAAUAAAAUAAUUGUCAUAUUGCUAUUUUGUUAAAAUUAAGUCAUUUUUUUAUUCUAUCCUAAAAUAAAUUACUCAAAAAUUAUAACUAAAAGUUGGUAAUAACACUCCCAUGUAUUGUACUGGUCAAUUGCUAGUAUUAAAUAUUUUAUCGAUAACAUUGAAUUGUAUCUCUAAUAAAAAAAUAACUUUGCUGGAAAAUAAUCCUUUAGCUCAUUCCUAAGUAUUUUAAAGUACAAUAAAUAUUGUCAGCUAUUUUACAGAUAAAAGAGACGAUGCGAUCAUAAAAUUAUAAAACAAGCAACUUUAUUUUUGAAUGGGAAAGGAAAAAAAAGAACUCAACUACUGGAAUUGCAAAAUAUAUUUGUAAAUAAAUAAAAGGUUAGACACAUCAAAUGUACAAGGACCAAGUAACAAAGUUGGAAUAAUGCAGGGAUUAUUUAUACAUUUUACCCAAUGCCCGGUGAUGUUGACGGGCCUGAUCUGAUCGAGCGUUGCGGCCUUUACUGUUCUCGAGCUCGCUGGAAGAAAUAGAUGGCCUCGUCGCAGUAUGCCACGCCAUCCAUUGAUACCUCGCUAUCAUAUUUUAGAGGGAAAACUUCAAAACCCCUGUAGUUUCGUCGUUUCUCAUCUUGCCCCCCUGUGAUUUAAAAUAUAUCAAAUUACUUCCAUGUGGUUUCAUUUUUUUCUUUUCGCUAGCUUUUUCGUUAAUAUUUUAUUAAAUUAUAUACAAAAAAUUUUAUAUACCUAUCUAGAUUUAUCAAAUAUUCACUUUAGUAUCCUUUAAAUUAACUUUAUUACUGAUUUAAAAAAAAAAUAAUGAAGUUGAUAAGAAAAAGAGAAAAAAGAAACCAUAGGAGGACAAAUUGAUACAUUUUAAGCCACAGGAGGGCAAAGUGAGAAACUACGAAAUCACAGAGGGGUUUUUGAAGUUUUCCCUAUUUUAGAUUUUAAAUUUUAGAUUAUAUUAUUUUUAGUUUUUAAUUAUCAAUUGUUGCAUCAUUGGUUUCCAACAUUUUCUUUUUUUUUUUUUUUGAUUUACAACUUUUUUCAAUCAAUUUUAUAAUCCCUACUCUUUAUUACAAUGGAAUUCUUGUGGCUAAAAGGCCGUUAAAAUUAAAGAAAUACUAGCUAAGGGCCGCACGAUGAAGCGGAAAGAAAAUAUUUUAGUUAUUUUUUAAAAUAUUUAUUUUUUUAGAUACGUAUAAUUUUAUAAGUAUAUAAAAAUAUAUAGCAAAAUGAGAAAUAGAAAAUAUACCCGCACAAAUCAGAUAUAAUAUUUUACACUAACUUUAUAUAAAGCAUAUUCAUUUCAAAAUUUUACAAAACUAAAUAAAAUUAAAAUUAAAUAAAGUAUUACGGAACUAAAAUAGAAAGAAAAUAGAAAAUAGCGCACUAUAAAAAAUAAAAGAUUUACAACAAUUGCCUAAAAAAUAAGCCAAUCGGAUAUAUAACUUUUUUUUACACUAUAUUUAUAAAAAUUUAUUAUAAAAGUAGAAAUUUAGUAAAUUUUAUAUCUAAAUUUUUUAUAUAUUAUAAAUUUUAUCAGGUUAGAUUUAAUUUUGUCAUAUUAAUUAUUAAAAAACAAAAUUUUGUUAAUACAAGAAUUUUUAGACGGGGUGCAAGAAAAAAAAAAGAAAAGAAAAGAAAGGAAAAGAAAAGAAAAGAAAAGGUAAUGAGAGAGAGGGGAGUGGAGAAAGUAGGUAGGCUCCACCAAUACUCCAACUCCUCUUAGGGGCCGUUUGGUUGGAUGUAGUUGUAGAAACAGUGUAGUUGGAAAUACAUGCAGUUGCAAAUGCUGCAGUUAUAACUACACCUAGUCUGUUUGGUUUUACGCAGUUGCAACUGCUGCAGUUACAUUUCUUCUGUUUGAUAAUAUGAAGCUGAUAGUUGUAUUUAUGAAUUUUGUCACCUCUUCAAAUAGAGUGGUGAGGUUACCUUCACUAAACAUAAAAUAAUUGUAUAAAUUUAUUAAUUAUUUAAAUUUACUAUUUAUAAAUAAAUAAGUAGAUAUAUAUAAUAUUUUUAUAUUUUUCAAUAAUUCUUCAACUUAUUAAUCGACACAUUUAAAAUUUUUAAUUUAUUUAAUUUUAAUAUGUAAAUCAAACUUUAAAAAUUUAAGCGAUUCUCUCAUUUUUUUUUAUCAAUUUUAAUAAUUAUAAUUAAUUAAAACUUAUUAAAUUAACAUACACGAUCACAUUCUAUAAAAAUUUAGAAAAAAAAACUAUAUUUAUAUUUUAAAUAAAAUAAAUUUAAAAAAAUUAAUUUUUUGCACAAAGCUUGUAUUGUCUAAAAAAUUUUAUUAGUAUGAGUUUAUUUAUAAGUAUUUUUAUUUACCUAUAUACAUAUAUUAUUUAUUUAUUUAGCUAUUUAUUUAUUUAUUUAUUAUUAUUAAUUUGUGGGUGAUCCUAUCCCUGACCAACUGCUGUAGUUGGAACUACGACCAAUUUGGAUGUAGUUCCAACUGCAGCAUUUGGGCCUUCUUGUGCAGUUGGAACUGCAGCAGUUGAACUCAACUGCACUAAACCAAACAAAAGAAUUGUGGCUGCACGCAUUUGCAACUGCACUGCAGUUGCAAAUGCGUACAACCAAACAGCCCCUUAAUAAUCUUCUACUAAAUGGCUUUUUAAGUAAAUUUUCAAUCCACACAAUACAGCAGUUGUGAUGCAGCUUUGAAAAGAUAACUAAAUAAGUAAACAGAAACAUCUUUCUCCUAGUAUAAAUAAGGGUUAAUUGCAUACAGCUCCCUGCAAACAGAUUAAAUUAUAAAUAUAUCCAUAUAAAAUUCAACUUUCGUAAGUUAUCCGCACAAAAUCCCUAAUAUUUUCAGAUAUUUCCCUAUGGUUUGUUACCAUUAGAGAAUCGUUAGAAAAUUAUUUAUAUUUUCAAUUUUGCCAUCACAAAUAUAUCUCUCCAAAGUUAUAAUAGCAUAAUAUAAAAGAGGUAAAAAUGUCAAAAAUUAACCAGGAUAAAAUAUUUAACCUAUGAUUAACUAAACUUUUCUAACGGAUUCUAACGACAGGAAUAUAUCUGAAAACAUUAAAACUUUUGCAGGAAUAACUUAUAAAAGUUGAACUUUAUAGGAAUAUAUAUUUGCAAUUCACUAUAUUUGCGGGGACCUAUAUGCAAUUAACCCUAUAAAUAAAUAUAUUUAUUUAGAAAUUAUUAAAAUUUUAAAAUAAAAAAUUAUAGCUAAAGAAAAAAAAUUAUCAAAUAGUCGUAUGUACAUUAUAAAGAAUAAUUAUUUUAUUAAUAUUUUUGCAACUAUGAUGCAGCUUUGAAAAGAUAACUGAAUAAGUAAACAGAAACAUCUUUUUCCUAGUAUAAAUAAAUACGUUUAUUUAGAAAUUAUUAAAAUUUUAAAAUUUUAAUAAUUAUAGCUAAAGAAAAAAAUUAUAAAUAGUCGUAUGUACAUUAUAGAAAAUUAUUAUUAUAAUAUUUUUUAAUUAUAAAAUUUAUUAAAAUUUAUUUAAGUUUAAUAGUUUUGAUAGUAUUUUAUAAAUAAAAUUUUUUAACUAAAAAUGCUAAGUUGGGGGACACCUAUAUUAAUAGUUUGUAUUUUUAUAUGCAUACUAUUAAGGACCCGCGCUUCGGCGGGUGGCAUGGAAGCACUAAACAACCGUAGUAAAUAAAAUGCAACAAUAUAUAUAUAUAUAUAUUAUAUAUAAUGUAAUUAUUAUAUUAUAUAUAUAUAUAUAUCUAUUAGUAUACUAUAUAUAUAUAUAUAAUAUAAUAUAUAAUAUCCAUAAUACUAUUUUUAAUAUUAAAGAUUAGUUCAAGUCCGAAGAUAUAACAAAACAAAUGUUGGUCAAGAAUGAUGCUCAGAGCAAAAUCUUAUUCCAAUCAGCAGUAGUCUGAGACAACUAAUCAGCAGCAAUCUGGGGGCCAAUCCAACAGGCAUAUCAUCAGCAGCAAUCUUAUUGCAAUUAGCAGCAGUCUGAGAACAGUAAGAUAAAAAUUAGAUUGCCCAAGCGAGAAUAGAAACACGGGAGAGUAAAAGUAAAUAGUUUGUCAUGCACCUAUAGCCGAUCAAUAGAGCAACAAGUUUGACAACAUCGAAAACAAAUCUGCAGUAAAAAAGUAGAGUUAGUAAAUCUCAUGAAGUUUGGUCAGGAAUAAAACAAAAAAUUUAUAAGAAUGCAAGUUUAGGAGCAAAGAACUACUCAGCUUGCCUUGCAACUGGAGGUGAAGAGUAGAGUAUCCAAUGCGAAUACUACAGAAAUAAUACGCCGGAAAUAAAUCUGCAGGGAAAAAAUUGGGGAAGUAAAUUACCGAGAGGACAAAAAGUAAACAGAUCGACUUCUCUUUAAAAUGAAAGAAGGGGAAAAAAUAAAUGGAUAUUCAUUUCGGAUCCGGAACAAAAGCUCGCCACUUAAACUAAGCUGGGAAUUAGCAAUUCUGACAGCAAACCACAUUUUGCAAUGAAAUAAAUUAAAAAUUAAGCUGUGAAUCCUUUUUUAGAUUUCGAGUUGAAGUGAUGCGGCCAAUAAACAUUAAAAAGCAUGCCGAUGAAAUAAAUUAAAAAUUUAGGAAUUUUAUUCUAAACAAAGCUUAUGGAGUCUAUGCAGACUUUUCACCAAAUAUUAAUUUGCAUGUACAAAAAGGAAUUUUCUAGCAAGAAACUAUACCUCAAUCAAGAAUAAUUGUAUGUUACUUCAUUCUAAGAAGAUAAAGAAGAUAUCCCUAAAAAUGCUAUAAAUUAGUCGACCAGCCGAUCCAUUUCCUUGAACUUCAUUUUUUCCAAAUUAUUUUUAUCUAUUCUCUGGUCAACUAUUGAUGCAAAUGGUAUGAAAAUAUGAUUUUUAAAUACAAUAAAGGUGCAACUUUGUUUGCCAAGGAAGAACCGUCAGAGCAAGGAAUAAAAAUACAAUUAAAAAAUAACAAAAAACAUAGCACCAUAGAGGACGGAAUAAUUAGUAAACUAACACAACAAUGCAUGCAAGGCUCGAGCUCUGUAUUUGCAAGAAAUGAGUAAAAUUUACCUAUCCACCAGACAGAAAUACCCAUAGACUUGAAGAAGGUAGGGGUGUAUCAAUCAGCAUGAUAAUCCAUUUAUGAGGUUACAGAUAGCAUGAGAAAAUGAAAGUAUUUUAGUUCUCAUUUCCAAGAUAUCAGGCUAAACUGAAACUUCAUAUUAUACUUAAAUUGAAACUGCAAAAAAAUAAGUGGUAGGUUUUUGUAAAUUUGACAAUCUUAAUUCGACCGAGAUAAAAGUUGUGCAUUUCGCUUUAUUGGAGGGUGAAAAUUGCAAUAAGUAUUAAUUCAGAGAUGUAGUCACGAAUAAUUUGAGACGGUCAAGGAAACUUACAAAGAGGCUGUAUGCACUUGCACAUUAGAGGAAGAAGGAACAUCCCAUAACCUCAAAUUGAUGACGGUUAGAUAUAUGCGAGGAUAAAAAGCAUAAAACUCUUCAUUGACAUUCCACAUUACUUAAAAUCUAACAUAUCAAACUUGCCAUCCCAACCAACGGCAGCAAGUAUUAUGAUCUAAACACGACCAAUUAUCUAAUCACUCAUAAAGGAAACAAAUGAAAACAUAUCAAAGCAAGAAAAUAUAAUCAUCUAAAUAGUAAAAAUUUACUCAAACUUGCAUCAAUCAUAAUCAAUCGUAAGGUCGCCGAAAAUAAAGUUAGAACCAAAACGAACAUAUCAAAGUAAGAAAAAAUAAUCAUCUAAACAGUAAAAAUUUACUCAAACUUGCAUCAAUCAUAAUCAAUCCUAAGGUCGCCAAAAAUAAAGUUAGAACCAAAACGAUAAAAGGAGAAUAACAUUCAAAAAGCGGAAUCGUAGUUAGAUAUGCUAAUUAUCAAUUCCGGAGUGGUAGAACUUUAGCCCGUGUCAGUACAGGUAGUUGUUGAGCAAGGUGAAAUCGUAGACAUUGAGCACAAUGGAGAACCCUUUCGACGACCGCGUUGAAAGGGUUCUUCCGAAGAGGAGAUCUAGGGUUUCAUUGAGCACAAUGGAAAAUCCUUUCGACGACUGCGUCGAAAGCGUCAAAAGGUUCUUCCCAAGAAGAGAUCUAGGGUUUCUCAUAACAGGGUUGGGAAGUGAAGCAUGAGAUCGGCGGUGAACGAAGCAGGAACGGAGCAAGGUCAGACAAAAGAGGAGCAAGGAGAGAGAGAACCGGGCGAGUGCAUUCACAGCUAGUAAUGAAAAGAUUGGCGGUCGGUGCGCCGCUGCGAGGACGGCCGCUAAGGAAGCAAGUACGCCCUUAGCGGCGCGUAGGAGGCGGAGGUGUACGGGAGAGGAGAGGUGCUCAGCGGCGCGUAGGGGGCGUAGGCGUCCGGAAGAGGUGGGCCCACCUCCGAAAUUAAGGAGAAGAGAGUAAGGGAGAGUAGGGUGCGGAGAAGAAUAGGGCCCAACAUCUCAGAGAGAGAAAAGGAGAGAGGGUAAGAGAGAGUAGGGUGCGGGAGGUCCGAAAUCACGGAGAACGCAGGAAAGGGGUUAAGGGAGAGACCCGAAAUCACGGAGAACGCAGCAAAGGGGUUAAGGGUUCACCCUUUAAUGAUAUUGGAUAGAAUUGGAUAGAUAAGGCCCCAAUCCCAACACCCACGCUCCUCCCCCACCAUGACCGCCAUGUGGCAUUUUUUUUUAGGAAAAACUUCAAAAACCUCCCUGUGGUUUCACACUUUUUCAUUUUAGUACUCUGUGGUUUAAAGUGUAUCAAAUUAGUAUUAUAUGGUUUUAUUUUUGUAUCAAGUUAGUACCCUGUGGUUUUAUUUUUGUAUCAAGUUAGUACAUUGUGGUUUUUAAACCACAGGGUACUAAAGUGAUAACGUGCGAAACCACAGGGUACUAAAGUGAUAAAGUGCGAAACCACAUGGUACUAACUUGAUACACUUUAAACCACAGGGUACUAAAGUGAAAAAGUGCAAAACCACAUGGUACACACUUUAAACCGCAUGAUACUAAAGUGAGAAAAAGUGAACCCACAAGGGGGUUAUUUGAAGUUUUCCCUUUUUUUAAUAUGACAGGAUCUCAUAUGAUUUUGUACUUUCUCACUUUAGUACCUUGUGGUUUAAAGUGUAUCAAUUUAGUACUUUGUGGUUUUAUUUUUUUUAAUUAUUCAUUCCAUUAACUUUUUUGUUAAAUGAGCGACAAAGUUAAAAUUAAAUGGUACUAAAGUGAAUAUUCGAUAAACCUAAGUGGAGUAUUUGAAGUUUUUUGUAUAUAAUUUAACGAAAUAUUAAUGAAGGAGCUAACAAAAAGAGAAAAUGAAACCAUAGGAUACUAACUUGAUACACUUUAAAACACAGGGUACUAAAGUGAGAAAGUGCGAAACCACAUGAGUGGUAUUUGAAGUUUGCCCUUUUUAAUAAAUUAUAGAUUAUAUAUGAGUAUAUCUUAUAUACUCAGUGUACAACUUUUUUUACACCAUAUAAAAUAUUAAUUUUGUUAUAUCGACUAUUAAAAAAUAGGGUUGGUCCAGGCCGUGCUGGGCCUGGCCGAUCGCUAAAAGGUUUUAUUUUUUAUUUUUUAAAAAAUAUAUAUAAUUUAAAAUAUAAACAAAAAAUUAUUUUUAUUUAAAAAUUUUUAAUUUUUAAUUUUUUUGAAAUAAAAUUGAAGUGUUUUUGAUCCAAUGGACCAAAAACCUCCUCCCAAGGGAUGCUGUGGCAGACCUUGGGAGGAGAUCUCCUGCGGCCCUUUUCCCAAGACGAUUCGGGUCUGUGAGGACUGAGAAUUUUGUUGUGUAGCUAAACUUUUUGUUGACAAUAUUUUUAUGUGUAAUUUAAUUACAUAAGCACUCGUCAAGUUUCAGGAAAAAACGAGGUAGAAUGGAGAAGUUACGCGACCUUUACUAAUCACUUAGGGUGUGUUUGGUUCGAAGUCGGAAUCGAAGUCGGAAACGGAAUGGGAAUAAGCUGGAAUCGGAAUCGGAAUGACUCAUUACCUCAUUCUGUUUGGUUCGCCACCUAAAUCUGAAUCGAAAUGAAUCAUUCCCAUUGUUGGUGUUUGGUUCAAGUAGUUAUCAGAACGGAAUCAAAUUAAUAUACCAAUUUUACCCUUUUAAUAUAUUUUAAUUAUUUGUAACUAGUUUGAAUACUCGAUUUAAAAUAUAAAAAAAAACCAUGCUUAUAAGUUUUUUUUUUGAGAAGGACAAAAAAAAAAGCAUGACCUCAUAAUUACUAGUGUUCAUUCAUCCUUUCCUUCUUCUUACUCUUUUUUUUUUAUUUUUUUGAGAAAGUCCAAAGUCCAUGUGAUUUUUGAGAAUAAAAGAAAAAAAAAAAGAGAGUGAUUCGAGAGCAAAGUUGGCGGGGGAGGGGGGGAGGGAAUUACUUACGGGAUGAAGCUUGGGGAGCGGCGCGAGGAGAGUUGAGCGGCGCGGGAGAGGCGAGGGUUUUCUUUUUUUUUUUUUUUUUUAAAGUCUAAUGGAUGUAGGUUAUUUUAGUAAUAAAAUAAUUAAGUCGGGAUUCAAUUUUCAAUCCGGGGUACGAGGCCGGAUUCGUUUCUACCCGGAUUAGCCGAUUCCCAUUUCGGAAUGGAAACGGAAUCGGAAUGAGAUACGGCAUACCAAACAUCUAGAAUCGGAAUGGAUCAUUCCGAUUCCGAUUCCGGAGCUAAUAUUUAGCGAACCAAACACGCCCUUAAAGUGAAUAGUAACUCGGUUUUUUCUAAGAGACCAGUGAGUAGUGAUGGCUUAUGGUGCGUAUUGGACUCUGUUUAUAGUUAUCCAAUAGCUCGUUUUCAACGGUUCGACUAUCCUGGACCCAAUGGCACUGACGGAUUUGAGACGAUUUUCAAGAAAAAGAGAUUUUAUCGCAAAGAGAAUUUUGGAGAAUCGGAGAAAGGAUGGCUUUCGUCGCGAAUCGGCAACCUAAUCAAAUGAAACAAAAUUGUGGGUUUGAUGUCUCGAUCGUGCUGAACGUGCCGGCACAACCCAUUCGAAAAUCCGACGGACGGAUCUCCUAAUAUCGCAUGAGGAUCGAGGAGGGAUAAUAUAUGGCAAAACGAAAAUUUUGCGAAAAGCCCUUCAUUUUAUAUACCAAUUUGUGUGAAAUCGAAUAUAGGGGUACAUUAGCGCGUUUUACUCGCGCUGUGAAGGACUCAGAUUAAAAUAUCUAAAUUUUGGGGACUUUUGUGCAAAAUGAAAUGUUGUAUAUAUAGGCCAUAUAGGGUUUGCAUGGUGCAAACCCUAACCCUAGCCUUCUUCCUCCCUGAGCUAAGCCCCCAGUCGCCUCACCACCCGCCCCUGCCCUUAUUGCGCGCACCCCGGCUGCUGGCGCGCGCCUUCGACCACCGGAAAGCCAUAUUCUCUCUCCCUCAACCUCACAUUGCUUUUCUUGGCUCUCCAUCCCUGCCGAGCACAAGUGGAGGGUCCAUCUCCCUCCGGCCCCUCACCAGUGCCUCCUUCGGGCCUCCGGCGACCCUCCCUGUCUACUGCCGCCGCCUCCGGGCCCAGCCACCGCACUGCAGCAACCCCGCGGCCAUCGUGGGUGAGCUCGGGCCGAGGAGACAAUGCGGCUCAUUCCCCGCGCUGCUUCCACUCGGGACUGCCCCCGUGACCUCCCUCCGACCUCUUGCGGCCCGUCGCCGCCGCCCCGAGGCUCCUGGCCACCGCUGUGGCUGCUGCAACCUGCUGAACCCGAGUUCAGCCCGUGCGGGCUCGGGUUGCUCUAGCGCCGCCACAGUCGCCGCCUUCCGCCGCCGGCCAGUGUGAGCACCAUCUUACCCUGGUCGGCUGCACUUGGUUGCCGCCGAUGGCCUUGCCAUGAGAGCCCCCUGCCGGCCGGAUUAGAGCCGAGCUCUUCGUCAUUCCGUGUGGCUAGGGUAUCAGUGCCUGCCGCCGCCGCCUUCCGUCGCCAGCCGACACGCGCCCGGACUUCCCUCUGCCUGAUGCACCCGCCUACCGCCAGCUUGCCCCCUGCUGUGCCGCCGCCGCUGUGCCCUGGCUCCUUUGCCCGGUAAGCUUUUAUUAAGCUGUUUGUGCACUAUUUUGGUUUGCAAUCGCUGUUCCGACGACUUGGGGCUAUUCCAAUGCCUCCAUAGGUGAGCACGGUGAUCGUCGGUCAGUGCUGAUCACAGUGCUCACCUCAUUUUGGGUCAACGAGCCCCGAAUUGGUGAAUUAGAUGCGUUUUAGUUUCAGCGCGCAGGGUUCGUAGAUUUUCGAGUUGCUUCUGUGCUCUCCACAGUGGACGGUUGUGCUCCGGAUUGUGAACACGGCCUCCGGCACGUCGAGACCUGUUAGUACAUGUCUCGGUCGACCUCGAAAGCCCUCGGUUUGCUGUAACGACCCAUAAAAUCUGGUAAAUCACAUAAAAUAAUGUGAUUUUAGGGAAUAGUAAGGGCUUUUGUGCACUGUGGGCAGUACGUGUGGGCUGCGAGUGACCUCUGGACUGAUUGUCCAAGGUUUGAUGCCCUUCGCGGAAAUCGAGUAUCGAUUUCCAGUGCGUUUUUUGGCGAAAUUCGCCAACAGAACGCGGUUCGAUUCAGAUUUCUUCCGACAAUGCUAAAGUUAAGAUUUUGAAUUGGAAUUCAAAUAUUUGAUUUUGACUUUGAGAUUGAAUUUGAAUGCAUAACUCAAAUUUUGACAUAUAAUAUAUGUCGAUAUUUGAAAUAUUCGACUCUAAAUUCAAAUUUGAACUCAAAAUCUAAAUUCAAUUUAAAUUUAAAUUUGAAGUCUAAAUUUGAAUUUCUAAUUUGAAUUCAAUUUCUAAAAUACAUUCCAAAAUUUGAAUUCAAAAUCAAAAUUAGAAUUAGAAUUUGAAAGUUUGAAUUCUUAAUAUGAAUAUGAAAUUGGAAUUUAAAAUCUGGAGUUGAAUGUAAAAUUAAGUACAAAAUUUGAAUUGGAAUUCAAAAGUAAAUUAUAAUUUGAAAUUUGAAUCUAAAAUCAAAACUAAAAUUUUAAAUUCCAAUCGAAAAUCAAAUUUAAAUUUGAAAUUUAAAUUUAAAAUUUUAAUGUAAAUCUAAAGUUCAAAUCCAAGAUCUAAAUUUAUCUAUACAACUAUAUAAAUUAGUUAUCGAGUAGAUAUUUUUAAGUGUAUAAUAAUAUAAUUACUACCGACCAUCCCUAGCGCAAGUGACAAAGGACUUAGUAAUUGGUAUCCGAGAUCCCAAGUUUGAAUCUUAGUUGAUUCAUAUUUUCAGCUAAGUUUAUUUUUUAAAAAAUAAACGAAACGGAUAAUAUGCAACCUUUCUCACAAUAUAUAUAUAUAUAUAUAUAUAUAUAUAUAUAUAUAUAUAUAUAUAUAUAUGUAUACCAACAUGUGUCUAGUUCUUGUACUUUGGUAGCAUUUUAUCUCAAGUAAACUAUGUUUCGUACAUGACAUUUUUGUCAAUUAUGCUACUUUGUUNAUAUAUAUAUAUAUCGGGCGGAAAUGAUCAAAAGGUAGAUCUAACGGUAGAAAACUCAAUAGUACCAAUGGCUUGGUACUAUUGAUAGUAUAGUAGCCGGACUAUAUAUAUAUAUAUAGUGAGAAAGAGUUAGGCUGGAAUACUCUUAAGAGUAUCCAGCCCAUUUUGCUAUAGGGUUUCCAGCCAUUGGAUCCUAUUAAGAUUCGUGCAGAGAAAAGGGUGAAACGGACAGAGAACGGCGCCGUUACUGUGAAGUGAGAAAGGAAAAGGUUACUUUCCCUUCUCUGUCGGUCUCUCUCUCUCUUUCUCUCUUUCUCUCUCUCUCUUUCUUUCUCUCAUCUUCAUUCUCUCCUUCCCCUGUUCUCUGUUACUCUCUCAUCCCCACUCUCUUCGUCUCGAUCUCACCUCUUCUCGAUCUCACUUCGAUCUCACUCGGGGAGCGGUCGCACCGUAGCACCCAGCAGCCAAGCUUUUGGAGGAAGCUGCCUGCACCUUCGCAAUUUUUGGAGCAGGCCGAACCCACGCGUAAUUCCUCUCGAUCUCACCUCUUCUUUUUUUUUUCUUUUUUUUUUUGCAAAAAAAUAGGGAUUAGUUAUUUUAUGGGUUCUUGUAAUUAUAUGAUGUUUAGUUUUUUUUCUUGCAAAACUUUGAAGCCUUCAUAUAUUUUUAUCACUAGUUUCGUUUUCCGACUUCAGUCAUGCUUACUACUCUGCUACAUUCUAGUAAGGUUCAAAUGUUCUUAUACAUAAAAAUAGAUGUGUGGGAACUCUUUAUCUAAAGCACAGUAACCUCAUGUAUUACCCACCACAAGGCACAAGUAUUGCCUCAGAGUAUUGCAAAAAAAUAGAGAUUAGUAAUCUUAUGGGUUCUUGCAAUUAUACGAUGUUUGGUUUUUUUUCUUGCAAAGAAAUAGAGAAGUUUGUUAUAUUUAUGGGAUUUCUUUUUUCCACCCAAAAAAGAGAUUUGUGGGUUCUUAUUAAAAUUUUUCUUUUAUUAAUGUCAGUUUUUAUAAUGUUAUGUCAAUUUUUAUAAUGUCAGUUUUAUUUUUGAUGAGCUCUAUAAUGAGAUUUCACUUGUUAUAUUUUACCUUACUAAAAUUAUUAUGUAGUCAUUUAAAAAAUUUUACUUUUUAUAAAAUUAACAUAUGGAUAGUGGGGAUGUUUACUAUUCACAUGGCUCAGAUGAUUUUGAUGAUGUAUCUUCAAAUAGGCAAGAAACCGAAUCUCCAUUUGGUGGUAUGAGUUAUUCUCAAAAUAGAGAGGAUGUUGGAACUUUUCAAGUUGAUUCACAAAACAGAGAAUUAACUCCUUUAAUCCAGCAAGAUCAAGACACCCCAAAUAUAAUUGUUCAUGCUGCAGAAUCAUCAAUUAAUGAGCCACGCAUUGGAUUGGAGUUUAAAUGUGAGGAGAAAGCACGGAGAUUUUAUAAUAUCUAUGCAUAUAAAACUGGAUUUAGCAUACGGAAAGCUAGUCAUUACAAAGCAAAAAGGAAAAAUAAUAUGGUUACAUCGCAUUACUAUGUUUGCUCAAAAGAAGGACAUUACAAAUGUCACGCCCCGGGACCCAGCGGAAGCCCGCCCGGCGCGUGCCCAGACCCGCCAUAUGUCUACAACAUAUAAGGCGUCUAAAAACAACAAUAAUAAAGCCAUAAUAAAAGACAUCUAGGUGUAUCAGAGCGUAAUAAAUGUCUAAAUGCUACAACAAGAAAUAAGGAUGAAACUGUAAAUUCACUAAAUAAGACAUAAAGUAAAUACAAUAGGAAAUCCCAAAUACAAGUACUAAAAGUAGGUACAUAGGUGGUCUCUACACAUGGAUACAAAAUCUCUCACUCUCCCAACUACAAAAGAAAGAGCAAACCACCUAGGCAAAGAACCGCUCCUCGCUAGCUAGCUAAGCGAUCCCCUUGCCGCGAUCCCGUGCCUCCGCCGGUGCCGAAGGCUCUGAAAAGUAAACCAUAAAACAGGGGCGUGAGAACUAUUAAAAAUAGUUCCCAGUGGGCAAUUACUGACUUCAGUGAAUGCACCACAAGGCCCAAAGCUACAAAAAGAGGUCAGUGACUAACAAUGUAGUAAAGCGACAGGUAAGUAAAAUGUAACUCACUAUAACAUAGAAUUUCUACUUAGUAUAAUUUGCACAAGUAAUGAAGCAACGAUAUCAUGAAUGUACAUGGAUGUGUAUGACAUGCAUCAGCAUAGAAAUGCAACCAAUCCGAUGUCCUCAAUGCAAAAAUAGUAAAGAUGUCAUUGUUUACUAUUCUAGUCCAAGUCCACUUUAAUAGUUUUAAAGUUCACAUAGCAUGUUCUGUCACUAAGUCCCAAUCAUAUAAGACCCACCCGAAGGCUGUCUGGCCUGCGCCGUGCCUAAUGGCCCCGUGGUAGUCAACAUCCCCACUCUAGGGAUGAGCCUCCCCCACGGCGAUCCACUUCGGCGCCCAAUCCCGCACGGCGAGCAUGUGUCGCGAUGGCUAUCUCCGGAGUGCCGGCUUGUAGGGAGCGACCCUCACAAGCAUGUGCGAAUGAGCACAAAUGGCAAGCAAGCAAUGAUCUGUCUCAAGUACCAAGUCCUCAUGUCUAAAACAUGGAAUAUGUCAAGUACCACGAUGGCCUAUCUCUAUGUCGUCAUGUCUCUAACAUGGAAUAUAGCAGAUACGUAAUGGCCUAUCAAUAUGUCUCUAUGUUGCAGUUUAAAUGUUUACUAGUUCCAAGUGCCUCUUGAUGACCCUUUUUGCUACUAAGUUCAAACAUAGUAUAAUGUUUCCCAUACAUGAACAUAAGCUAAAUUAGCAUACUAGACGAGAAUCCCAUUCGUCCACAUGAACCCACCCCACAUGCAUGACAAUAACCUUGAUUACUCUACCAUCUAGAGUGAAAUUUAACUUACACAUAGGGCAUGCAUUUUAGGGGUUCUAAAUUUCACAUAAAUUCCAAUUAGCAUAGGAAAGCAUUUAAAAAUAAGUUACGAAUAGUUUAGAAUGCACAGGGGCCAUUUCGCCCCAUUUCCAUGAAGUCAAACCCACCGAUGACGACGAAACUCCUCGUUCGCUCCAACGAGGGUGUCCCCUAGUCUCCUAGUAUCCUAGAGGUAUAGAAACAUGUGUCAAACAAGGCUCACGAACAAAGCUAAGCUCAAACAUUAAGCUUCUCUAGCUAGGUUGGAGAAAACUCACCGAAAGCUAAAGAAUCUCUCUCGAUCUCAAAAAGGGAGUUAGAUUCCUUCAAAUCCAACCUAAAUCAAAGUUCUAAACCAAUCAAUUUGGUUCUAGAAGCUACAAAUCAAAAAUCCCCAUUUUUAGCCCUAAAACUCAAAAUCUAGGGUUUCAUCUAGUAGAAGAUAUUAAAACUUGAUCCAAAAGGGAGAUUUAGCUUACUAACCUCACAAGAUGCCCAAAACCAAGCUCCAAGCCAAGUGGAGUUGAAGUUUGAUCCUCCAACAAGCUCCAACCAAGAUCUCAACCUUCUCCAAUGGUGGAAAUCCUAAAAAAAAGCAAGAAGGAGAAAAAAAGAGAGAUCAAAACCACUAAAAACCCACCAAAAAAGGAGAUCAAACCAAGAGGGGAAGACUCACCUUGCUCUCCUCUGGUUAGGGCUCAAAAAGAGCAGCAAAGGGGCUGGGGUAACUUAUAAAGAGUAUUGCAACAAUUGCAAAAAGACCCCUCCACGAAAUCUGCCCAGAGGCAUUGUGUACCGGUACACGGGAAAGUGUACCGGUACACUUCCUGCGAAACAGCCCAACCCGAGCCUCGGUUUGACAGAAAAUCUAUUGUGUACCGGUACAACCAUCAAGGCGUACCGGUACAAAUUCUGUACCGGUACGACCAUCAAGGCUGUACCGGUACAAAUUCUGUACCGGUACGACUAUCAAGGCUGUACCAGUACACAGCCUGGCUGAGGCUAAUCCGAGAGUACUCCAACAAUCCACCCUUUUGGGAUUUUGGUACGGGUUUAAACCCUCGAUUCUCGGGGUGCGAGCCAUAGGUCGGAACACUGUCUACGACCCUUCAGAAAGUCUGGAAUAGCUCGGCACACAGAUCAAACACUCGAACCUCGCGAUUUGCAUAGGUCCAGUGUGUUACAUUCACCCCUCCUAAAAAGGAGUUUCGUCCGCGAAACUCGAAAGUCAAAGCAUACCUCAUGGCUCCAUCUGAAAAAGAUGGGGAUAGCGCUCCUGCAGCGCACUCUCUAGCUCCCACGUGGCCUCCUGCUCCCCGUGGUUGCUCCAAAGGACCUUCACAUACGGAAUAUCCCGAUUCCGCAGCUUCUUUACUUCGCGAGCCAAAAUCUUCAUUGGUUCCUCCUCGAAGCUCAAAUCCUCGCGCAGUUCCACUGGUACGGCUUCCAAAACAUGAGCUGGAUCAUGAAUGUACCUCCGAAGGACCGAUACGUGAAAGGCGUUGUGCACGCCCGAUAGGUUCGGUGGUAAAGCAAGUCGAUACGCUACCGGACCUACACGCUCCAAGAUCUCAUACGGUCCAAUGAAACGGGAGCUCAACUUUCCCCGAAUCCCGAAUCUCUUGAUUCCUCUAGUUGGCGAGACCUUUAAGAAAACAUGGUCUCCAACUUGGAACUCCAAGUCUCGCCGUCGUCGAUCGGCGUAGCUCCUCUGUCUACUCUGCGCCGCCAAAAGUAGCUCUCGAGCAAUUCGAACCUUGUCCUCAGCUUCCUGGAGCACAUCAGGGCCUAAAGCCAAUCUCUCACCGACUUCACUCCAAUGAAGUGGCGAUCUACACUUCCGUCCAUAAAGUGCUUCGAAGGGCGCCAUCUUGAUGCUUGCUUGAUAACUGUUGUUAUAAGCAAACUCCGCCAUAGGUAGAUACUGCGACCAUCCUCCCUGGAAGUCUAUCACACAUGCCCGGAGCAUAUCCUCUAAGGUCUGUAUAGUGCGCUCCGACCGUCCAUCGCUCUGCGGGUGGAAUGCUGUACUGAAAUCCAAUCGGGUGCCUAAGGCGUCCUGUAGACUCCUCCAAAAGUAAGACACAAACCGAGUGUCCCGAUCAGAUACAAUCGAUGUAGGCACUCCAUGAAGCCACACAAUCUCAUCAAGGUACACUUGUGCGAGCUUCUCUCCGGUCCAAGUCGUAUGAAUAGGUAUGAAGUGCGCCGACUUCGUCAACCUAUCCACGAUCACCCAAAUAACAUCGUGCCCUGCUUGAGAGCGAGGCAACCCUGUCACAAAGUCCAUGGUGAUCUUCUCCCACUUCCACACUGGAAUAGGCAAACUCUGAAGCUUCCCCGCGGGAACUCGGUACUCUGCCUUCACUUGUUGGCAAGUUAAGCAUUUAGCGACGAACUCGCCAACAUCCUUUUUCAUCCCAGGCCACCAAUAGAGCAACUUUAAGUCCUUAUACAUCUUGGUGCCACCCGGAUGUAUAGCAUAGGGCGCCCGGUGCGCUUCUUGAAGAAUAUCCUCUUUAAUUCUUGAGUCCGCCGGAACACAUAGCCGUCCACGGAAUCGCAUCAAUCCCUGAUCAUCCAAAAGGAAGUCGCCGAUGCAACCCUCAACCAUUUUACCUCGAAUCUUUUGCAACUCCACAUCGGAAGCUUGCUUUUCUUUAAUUCUAUCCAAAAGGGUAGGUUGCACUACCAUAGUCAUCAACCUCAAGGGUGUGUCGGGGGUGACUACCUCCAACUCCAACCGCUUCAUCUGCUCGAUCAACUGCGGUUGAGUCACAACAUGCAUCGCCAAGUUUUCCAUCGUUUUCCUACUUAGCGCAUCCGCUACCACGUUAGCCUUACCCGGGUGGUAAAGAAUCGUCAGAUCAUAAUCCUUGAGCAGCUCCAACCAUCUGCGCUGUCUCAGGUUCAACUCCUUCUGAGUAAACAGGUAUUUNNNNNNNNNNNNNNNNNNNNNNNNNNNNNNNNNNNNNNNNNNNNNNNNNNNNNNNNNNNNNNNNNNNNNNNNNNNNNNNNNNNNNNNNNNNNNNNNNNNNUGUCGGGAUCCAUGCCGCCUCAACUGCCGGAAUCGCCUGCCACGUGCCGAACCUACACAAACCUCAUCACGGGUGCACUGCAAGCCUCACAAACGCCAAGCCCUCGCCUACCCGGCAAGGUGUGCUACGAGCACAAGGGAUACCCCGGGAGGCCGCAAGCCUAUCCGAUCCAAAGGCAGGAGACACAAGCUUGAGUAACAUAUAUUUACUUUCCCUGCGCCUCCUAGUUUUGUUUUAUUCCAGUUGCAUAGGGUUGCAAUAACUUAGACUCUAUCCUCUGCAUAAUUAGUCUUUACAUUCACAAACGAUUUCUUACCUAUUGGGUCGUAUUAAUUAAUUUAGUAAAAGUGAGGCCUCUUGGCUCAUGCCAUAAUGAUUAAAUUGAGAUGACGUAGUGGAUUGCGGAAGCGUUAAACAUCAUUGGUGGUGACUUGAAACAUGAGUUUAUGUAUAAAGAUUAAGAAACAGGAGAAAAAAGAUCUAAUGAAAGUGAAAUAUGAAGCUUUUUUAUCAAAAAUUUCUUGUAUGUAUCCCUAUAAAUAUCAUUCGCACCUAAGAAAUAUUCUUGGUUGGUACUUUUACUAAAACAAGAUAUCUCUAGCAUUUCUUUUUUAUUUAGUAUUAUUUCUAAAAUCGUAGAUUUGCCCUUAAGUUUUUUGUCUAAUAUAUGCUGAGCUAGUUCAUCACUUUAGUGUUAUUUAGUUCUAUAUAAGCUUCUAUUCUGUCAAUUUACUAUUUACAAGUAGUAUUAGAACGCUGAAUAAUAGUUUAAAUUUUAGGAAUACAAUCAUUCCUAAUCAACACUAUUAGCCAUUGUAUUGGUCAACAAGCUCAUUGGUAAAGUUACCAAAGUGAAAUGAAUAGAAUUUUCUUGAAAUUUUACAGUACGGAGAGCAACAUCCUUCUUGGUUGAAAACUUCUUAUUUGGCAUAUUUUUCUGAUUUUUCUUCAAUUCUACAUAUUUGUUUACCCUCUUUUGACAUAGGAAGUCAUAACAUUUCUUAUUUUUUAAUUUGCAAAUAAACUAUUGAUCUUUCUAUCAAUUCUUUUCUUUAUUAAUUGGUUAUAGAUGAAGUCCAUUUCAUAAUUGUUCGAUAUCAUCAUUUUAUGAUUAUGGUUUUCUAACUGAUUUGUUAUUUUUUUAAAUAUAAUUUGCAAUAGUUUGGCGAAGUAAGUUGUUAAUUUUAAAAUUGCUAUGUGUUUCGAAUAGUAAGCAGCUAUUAGUGUCUAUUCUAUCUAAAUAGUCUAUUAUUUUUAUGGAUUUUUGAGUUGGGGCUCAAUUUCUAAUGCUAAUUGUUUCUUUUCUACCCUAAUCCUUAUAGUUGAGCGCUGAAGUUUUGUCCUUAUUUAUCUCUUUUAAAACAUAUUGUAUUUGUCAUAAACAAAACACUAAACACCCAAAAAAAUCUUACAGAUUGUGAAUAUAAUGGACAAAAAGUUGGUAAAAAGUCCAGACUAUGAUAUUGCUUACAUUGAUGGAUUGUCUAGAAAUUUAUUAAAUUUGCCUAUGGAGAAUCAUCCAUAAAUGGCAAGUUCUAUGCCCAUGAUCGAUAAGUGUUACACAAAUUCUUCUUUAUACACAAGUUGUUGAAGAACAUUUAGUGAUUGGAAUCGGGUUUUUUAUUAGGUUAAUGUUUGGGUAUUUCAUGGAGAGUCAUUUGUCACAUCCCAAAUGAAAUCGAAUUUACUCAUUUGCUGCCAACGAUCUCGUAAUGCACAAGAAAGAUUAGUUCCAAGACAAGAUGGUCUAGAGGGAUUGCUGCAAUUGUUUUUGGAAUUAUUGGGCACCUAAUUUGAAAAUAAUGACAAGUAAUGAUGAGACUAUUUUUAAUUUAGUUUAGAAGAAUGUAAUUGACGCAGGCGUAUCUAUGGAUUCUCGGCGAGCAAAAUUUUAUGAACGGUCGAUGCAUUAUACACCUAAGGAACAAUCGAUAUAGUAACUUGUCCGUGAAAGAUUGUGAUAAAGACAAAGGAAAUUAUAUCCAGGUUGUAAAACUUCAAGAUAUCGUUCAUUCUUCACUUAUUCACCUACAAAUGCUUAAACGGGUGGUCCGGAAAAUCCUUUACAAUGAUUGCCUCCAAUUAUUAAAAAUUCAUUUCCUGAGGCAACUCUUUGCCAUCCCCCCAUCUUAUUAUGAAGCUAAAAGCGAUAAAAGAAUUGGGUCUUUGGAUAUGAGAGAUUCAUAUUUGCGACCUAAUGAUUGUAUGUUAUAUUGGGGUGAGACGAAUAAUCAGAGUAUUGUAAUGAGUGUGGAUCUUCACGGUGGACAAGUGAAUAAAGAUGAUACUUGGUUGUUCUUGAUGAUUUGAAAGGAGAAAAAGCCGCGUCAAUGAUAUUACGCUAUUUUCCUUUGAUGACACAAGAUUAAAAGAAUUUAUAUGUCUCUAAAAUUGUUUCGUUAAUGAGAUGCAUGUGGAAGUCGCAUUCAAAGAUGGAAUCUUGAGACCACCAGACGAUGGCCCUUGCAUGGAAAAUCGUUUGAUGAUCUUAUCAUGAUUUUUUCUUCCGAUCCUGUAAGUGUAUAGACUUUGGUCCUUGCUAUCGGACGGAUUCAAUUCUUUUCGAACAAUCAGUAUACUUAUGCACUUGGCGGUGACUAUUCAUUCCUUAUUAAUUUACCUCAGGGAUUAAUUGCAUGAAAAUCGUCUUCAUUUUAUCACAAUGGUCAUUACGGCUGAAAAAGGUCCAGCGGUAAUGAUAUUGAAUAAUUAUUUGCACCUUUCAAUAGCGGCAGUUAAAACACUUUGGUAUGGUGUGAUGGCUUUGAUGCUUCUAUAAGCAAAAUUUGUUCACUGAAAUGAGGGUCUCUUUAUGAUGGACAUUAAUUGAUUUUCCCUGCCUAUGCUAAUUCUAUCUGGUUGGAGCACAAAGGGACGUGUUUUAGCCCUUGUGUGGGUUUUCAACGAUAAUCACGUUGGUUGAACAAUAGUAAGAAUUCUGUAUAUAUGGGCCAUCUGAUCGGAUGGUUGAACCAAAUCAUCCUUUCGAUAUCACAAAAUUAUUUGAUGGCACUCAUAGAGUGCGUUCCGCUCCAAUAUCACAUCUGACAUUGAAUGUCCUAACCGGCACACUACAGGGCAUAACCUUCAUAAAUUAUGGCAAAGGCCUUCAAAAUAACUCAAAAAAGGAUAAGAGGGAAACGUUGAUAGUUCUUUAUGCAAAUCAAGCAUUGAUGACGUUGCACUACAAAUCAAGUAGAGUGUUAGAGAUACCGAAUGAGUUCAUGGACAGAUGAGCCAUGGAUUUCAUGAAGUUGGUCAGAUUGAUUAGUGAUAACAUUAGAUGCAUCACACAAAUGAUGUAGGUGGAAAAAUUGUGGUAAGGAAAAAAGCAUCUUUUUGAACUGCAUAUUGGAAGUACAAUCCUAUUCGACAUAAUUUAGAUGUUAUGCAUAUACAGAAGAAUGUAUUGCGAAUAAACUUUAAUUGGAACCUUUCAUUUUUUGAAUAAUGCAAUGGUAGGAACUAAGACAAUUUGAUAUAUGCACGCGAUUGGCACCUAAUAGAUAUGGGCAUACGACAUGAUCUACAUCCCAAGUUGCAAUCGCAACAACAAAACUAUAAUACCUCAUGCAAUUACACUAAUGUCACACAAGACAAAGGUAAACUUUCUGACGGUUUGAAAAAUAUUAAAGUUCGGAUGGAAUAUGCAUCGACAUACGCAAGAUGUGUGAAAUCAUAAAGAACGAACACUUUCAACCAUCAAGAGUCAAUGAUGGGCACAUAUUUUAUGCAGGCUAUUCUUACCAUAAUAGCAUUUGAGCAGCAUCUAUGCCAAAACAGAUUAUCACAAUUGUUUCGGGAACUAUCAUUAAUAUUUUCAAAUCAAUAUGCUUUUCCAGCAAUCUCUUGAUCCAAAAGUCCUUGAUCAGUGGAACUCAAGUGCUUGCAAUUAACACUAUCCACAUAGAGAACAAUAUUCCUCCCAGUUUUUUUCACUUGUCAAUGUUUACUCAUUAUUCACUUAAGAUCGCAGAGGCCAAGGUUACGGUGCGUCCUGUUACUUACAGAUGGAUAGUAUCAUUGAAAGGUGAGAGAUUUAAAUCUAAGUUCAACUAAUGUAUCAUUAAUUUUCUUAUUUGACCAAUCUAAUUUUUACUAGAAUAGCAAAUUACACAACAUAUUUAUUAUAUAAUACUAUUAUCAUCUGCUUAGUUACUUUGGUACGGUUAAAAUAACAUUACGGUACGCAACAAGAGUAACCCAGAAGGCUCAGAAUUGCUGAAGGAUACAUUGCGAGAAUGUUUAAACAUUUUGUUCAGAAUAUUUGGAAGGUGGUGGAAACAAAUAUUCAAUCGAAACCAGAAAGAACUAUGAUGAAUAAUAAAUAUGCGAAACCGCUUACAAUGUUCUUAUCUGGUGGGCGACGUAAUAGGAAAUAUCGAAAGUAUUGUAGCUUGACGAAAUCUCAAUAUAAGUUAGCAAGACACAUCGCAUAUGUUACUUACAAUUCAUCUAAUACAAAAUUACUCAUAUCCGUUAGGUGAAUACCAAUUUUUUUUACUAUAUUUAUCAUAAUAUUCUUUUUUAGUAUUUAACAAAUAUGAAGUUAACUAAAUAGAAUUAAGCCAUGAAACACAAUCAAAUAAGAGAAAUUAUUAUGGCAAUGAACUAACGGAGAGCUAAAUUCAGGGCGAUUCGAGCUAAUCAAAGAUAUUGAGCAAAAAUGGCUGGUAGACAAAUUUUCUGGAACUGGUUUUUAAGACAUGGUAAAAAAUGCAUUAUUGAGAACAUCGGUGUAUACCUUUUACUGUAAAAUAUAUUACUUAACAUGUUUUAUCAUAGGUACCAAAACUACAUGAGCAGCGAUUGUUCAGAAGAAAUCAUUUGCAAAUGGCGCGCAGAGGUCCAAUAUAAAUUUAUUACAAAAGAUUUAGUGGCUUUUAUCAUAAAUGGGAUUCCGGUUUCCACACAAAGGAUCGUGAAAAGUUUCGAAGACUCAAAAAUAGUGAGUUAUGGUGGAAGCAGAGGGGCAAAUUAUUAUGGUGCACUCACUGCAUAUUUUUUGAGCUAGAUUAUUUGGAAAGUAAAGUUGUCUUAUAUUCGUUGUGAUGGGUGGAUGUUAGGUCACCAAGCGGGUUUAAAGCAAAGACUACGAUGCGAUCAAUUCUUGUUAACUUUUCCAAGUUGAUACAUACUGGGCCAAUUUUUGAAAGAUGAUCCUGAAUUCAGAUUCUCAUCUCAAAGCAAAACAAGUAUUUUAUGUGCAAGAUCCAUAAAUGAACACUGGAAUCAUGUUAUCAUGACGAAACCAAGAGACUUGUAUGAUAUUAGGGUGGAGAUGCCAAGAGAGGAUGACCGGACUUAUACCCAAUGCUGCCUUCCUGAUGUUAUGGGUGUUGAUGAAUUAAAUGAUUGUACAAGUUGGGUCAGAAUAAUGGAUGUGAAGAGGAGCACUAAUGCUUAAUUUAUUAUAGUAAGUGAUAAUGAAAUACUGUGGUCUUUAUCUCUAAUUAAAGUAACAUGACUUAUGCACAUGCUAUUUUUUAGUUGAAAUGAUUCUGACUUUUGAUGUCAAUAUUAAAUUAUUAUUUAGAUAAUAUGAAAACUAAAAUUUUGUGACGGAAGUUGAUUUUUCUUUGUAUUCUUUUAUUUUACUCUCAGUUUGUAUUGAAACUUGAUAUUUGAUAACAUUUCUAUUUUUUCUUACUGUUCUUCUUGGCUUUUUUGAAUAUAUAGUAUGUUUUUAUCUUUUUCAAUCAGUGUCCACCAUAUGCCACAACCUGCUGAAAAUAGUGAUUUGGAAAGGACCAAAUUUUCUGGUUACGUAAUAAUUUAUCUUGUAUAUGAUUCCAACUCAACUAUAGUUCCAAUGCUUUUAGUAGUAUAUCAUAACUAAAAAUGUAUUAUUUUAUAAAUUAUUUAUCUUAUAUUGUAGCAGAAAUUAUAUGAAUCAGCUUUUUGAAGCAUCUCUGAUGGUAAGCCAAUAUGUAUUUGGACACAACUUUCAAGCAAAAUUUUGAAUAUAUUUUGCUUUUUUACGUAUGUUAAUCUUCUUUACAUUUAUGUAAUUAUUUUAAUUGACACAUUGAUUAAUCAUUAAUUAUCUGUGUCUGAGGUAUUAAUUAUGGCUAAUCAAAGAUGGUGAGAGAAUGUUGAGAUACAAAAUUAAAUGAAAGUUUCAAUUUGAAUUAGUAAUGACCUAUCAACUAGCGUCACAAAACACAGCAUACCUCAGACAUGAUGCAAGAUGCAAGCUCAAAUAGUGAUUCCUGAUUCUGCCUCUUGAAAAUGAGCUCAAGUCCAAGAACAAGCAGAUCAUGAAUAUAAUUGACACGUCUUAGAGUAGAGGUAACUUUCAUUUAUUGUAUUUGAAAAACUUUGUUUAUCUUUUGAUUAUGUCUAUUCUUAUGUAUUUCGUUAUAUUUCUAUAUAGAUGACAAGGACACACAAUAAAAAAACGAGGAAUGACACUCGUGCGAAGGACGUAUGGACUUGCUAAUGGGCACAAAAUUAUAAUUAAUGCUAACAAUUUGACAGCAGUAAAGAAAGGGGGAUUGGCAUCCUUGGAGUUGCUUGGGACUCUUUUCACGAAAGAGAAGUUUCUGUGCUCAUGCCAUAACACAGUUGGGAAGAAAGUGCGCUAACCAGUGAAAACAGAACUAUAUUCAAUUAAAACCUCGGGUAUAAACAUUUGUACUUAUCUUUUAGUAGGCACAAAAAUAACUGUAAUUAUCAAUAAUUGUUUGUUGGUUUAAUCUUCCUUUUAUGAUUAGUAGAGGUCUAUAUCUUUGUCUCCAUUAUACUCUUACCAAAUGUUUUUAUUAACAAUUGUCAUUGUUGGAGUGUUAAUUACUAGAUCAUCUGCAGCGUGAAACCACUUCCGAGAAAAAGUGUGCAAUUUUUUAAAAGCAGCAAACCUUCAUUUAGUUAUUAAAUUCUAGCAUUUUUAUAGAUAGUUGUUAUGCAAACUUUAUUAAUAAAUUUUUCAGUUCAUGUAUUAAAACCUUUAUUUUUUCUUUUGAAAUUUUAUGCCUAUAGUUUUAAAAAUAUCUCGAGUGUUAAAUAUCAUAUAUUCUUGUAGUAAUAGAUUAAAGGUAAGUUCAUAAUUAAUUAGUAAUGGAGUUUCGAUGUUUAAUUUUGACUAUAUUUUUUUGUCUUGUAGACUAAAUUUAAACGGCUAUGAGACAAUAAUGUCAAUGCCUGGAUAUUAAUCAGUUAGUUCGAAAAUGGAAGAUUAUAAAUGUGAACUAAAAGCAAAAUACAUGAUAGAGGACUAUUACAGAGCAAAAUAGUGAAUGUUGUUCCGAAUGGAAAUUGUGCCGCAACAGUGGGUGGACUUGUGAUUACUGGUUUUCAGAAAAAGUCGGUAAAGUGAAUUUUAUACGUUAAAUUAUUAUUCCUUGAAGUUUACUAAUUUAUGGUUCUAAAUGGCAAUUUUUUUUUGGCGAACACUGUAUAUACUCUCGGAUAGGGCGAGAUCCUGUGCAAACAUACAAGCUCCGUCACAACGACGCGCUAUGGUCUUUUGCUAGAAAAGACACAAUUGUAUGUAAUUAUAUUACUUUUAGUUUUUAUAAGUAAAGCUAUCUAGUUCUUUUUUUAACCUUAAUAUAUAUACUUGCGUUUGCGGCAAGCAAUUAAAGCUUAUGUGAUUACACUUUCUGUUUUUGAAGUUUGUUGAGUAGUUUCAACUUGUAUAUUUGGGACUGAAUUUAUUCACUACAAUUAACUUUAUUACAGGAAAAAGCGAAAAACAAAGAGGAACCUGGACGCUAUUGAAUUUUUUGCAAUUUACUCACAAAUCAAAGAUGGGAUUUAUGAUUAACACUACAGCAAGUUAACUUGUUAGUGCGUAUAAUAAUCACAAUGCUAUGAAUUACAAACUAUACAAACAGGCAAUUUUUUAUAGUUUGAUGAACUUCUCUUGUUAUUUUCUUAUGCAGGAAUGAUGCCGUAUGGUGGAAGUGGAAUGUAAUAUUGCUUCAGGAUCUUCAACUUCAAUUAGCAUGAAUUGUGCGAGAAUGAUGCUUUCAUUGGCAUAAAGGGCAAAAGAUCGAUAUCGGUCGAGUAAGAGGGUAUGGAAUUGGAUGUAGUUGCCAACUCAAGUCCUUGGGCCCACAAGCAUAUUCGGGCUGUUCGAUAUGAUGAUAAUACGGAAAGAAGUACAAGAUUGAAAUUCGAAAGAUAAAGUUGAUGGAAGAUACAUAUGAGUCAAGAUUGCGUUGGCAUGCAGAAGAAAUAUGAAUCAAAAUUAGCGAAGAUACAUCAAAUUAUGAAUCCACGAAUGGGUGGAAUGCAAUCUCAGUUGAGUGAAACUCACCUCUAUAAUGUUAACUUGUCAGCACAUCUGAUAUUUUAGGUGCCCGAAUCGAGGGCGUCGUCCAUCACUUAGAAGAAUUUCGUUUAUUCCUCAUUUUGAGCUUUACUUACAUUAGAACUCGAAUAGUUUAGCAUAUAUAUUUUGUUUUGUUGAUCAUUUUGAGCUUUAUGUUUGGUGAAAUUGAAACAAUUCUGUAUGUUUUAUAUUUGAAUUGUUCAAUACUAACUAGUUGCUUUCUAGAAUCAUUUUUAAUUUCUCAUAAAUUUGUUUGUGUUUUUUUUUUUCUGUGAAUGUUCAUUUCUUUUUAUUGUUGCAUGAGUAGUAGAUGUGUAAUUUGUAGGAUAUAUGAUUUGAAAGUUUUGAUAAAAUGUCUGAUCAGAAAAAAUGAAUCAAAAUUUUCUAAAAAAUUUAAAAAAUUAUUUUAUGAUAGUUUAAAUGCUUGAAAUCUGACGAGGCUUGCAAGCACCGGCAAACGUGCCGACGCUAUAAAGUGUCGUUAAAUUUUAAAAUUUUUUAUAAUAACCUGGCACUUGAGGACAUGUUGGAGCGUCGGCAAAAUUAAAUUAACGACGCACGAGAGCGUCGGUAGCAAUUAACCGACGCAUGCACAAAGCGUCGCUAUUUUGCUCCCGACACUGCAUUUAACGACGCACCUGCCGACGCUUUUCUUUGCGUCGGUGGACAUUUUUCCGACGCUUAAUAGCGUCGUAAAGUUAAAAAAAAAGGGUAGCUAGAAACCCCUUUUGUUGUAGUGAACUAUCGUUAUAGUCCUUCACUGCUCCUUUGCAAUCAUAACAGGCUUUAUACCACCAACCAUAGAUUGUGUCUAUUGUCGCCAACUUUGCUUUGCAAGUGUAUUUCGAACUCUGUAUAAGAAAAUAAAAGCUGAUACACUCUUUUAUUAUUUAAAAUAAUAGGCUUCACAUGUUGAGAAAUAAAGAAAUAAAAGUUUAUGACUAAUAAUUGACCUCAAAAAAAAAUUUCAUUAUUAUAUUCUUACUUGUAAUUCAUCUGGAUUUAACUUGAGUAAUUUAUCAAUAGUCUUGCGAUUUAUGGAUAUUUGUUCAUAAGGACUGAGGAUUGGCUCAUUUAAAGAUUUCAUAUGUUGUAUCGGUGCAACUGGUGUGUCUUCUGUAGAAAAAAACAUAUUAGAAAAUAUCCUAAGAUAAGUUUUUUUAAUAAUAAAUAAGUAUUGUUAAAUACCCGCACAAAUUAUUGCGGAAAUCUACAACUUCUUGUAUUUCCAAAUUGCCGUAGAUUUUUUAUGCCGAACAUGUUGAUAUAUAGAGCUGAUCUGUAAUUGCAAACAAUAACAUAUUUAGUUGUUGACAAUGUUAAUAACAUGUAAAAUAAAAGUUUUUAUAUAAGAAGGUAUUCAAUGUUACCUCUGUAGGUUCGCACACUCAUACUUGCAAAAAUAACAAUAGCUGGACCAUCGACUUUUUCCUGAUGCUGGUUAUCAUUAAAUUCAAUAGCAAAUUUGUCCCAUAAUGUGACGGAUAAUGUUUCAUCCCUACAAAAUAUAUUAAUAUUUGAUGCUACAAUUAAUAACUGUAAUACAAAAAAAUAGUCAAUCUGUAGUAUCCUUAUAUAUAUAUAUAUAUAUAUAUAUAUAUAUAUAUAUAUAUAUAUAUAUAUAUAUAUAUAUAUAUAUAUAUAUAUAAUGCCACGUGCCCCUAUGCAUGUAUUUCAUGCUUAUCUAAUUAGGGGUUGUACAUGCCUCCUUAAUUAAAAUUUCCUCCCUCUCUGUCUCUGGAGCCAUACGCGAGGAGGAGGAGCUUGGGUGGAGCGUUCGUCGCCGACGUCGCAUCGCCAAGCCGUUUGAGCGCACGUUUGUCGCCAUAGCGUCGCGUGGAGGCCGGGCGAGGGUGCGUUUUCGCCAUCCUCGACGUCGCACCGGCGCUGGAUUCGCUGUCGAUGUGGGUACCUAACUUUCCUCCUUGGAUUACUUGAACGCACGAUUUUGAGCUCGCGUGCUGAUUUUACUGAUUUUCAGCGUCGGCCAUCAGUGUUUCGGCUCGUACUCGGCGUAGGAAAGUCGGAUUUCGACGGGACUUGGUUCGUUGGAUUCAGGACUUCGAGAGGAAUCCACGAAGCCCUUAUUUGCUGGAUUUAGUGAAGGUUUGCUAGGUCGUAUCCCUAUUUCUUUCUGCUGCUGCUGUUUUGGGCAGAAUUGAUGCUUAAUAUGGGUUUCUAUGUUUAGACCCGUGGAGCGUGUUGUCGCUGGUUCGGGGAGCUGCGCCGAGCUUGACAGGGACUCCGGUGACCUUCUUCACCGUCGGGGAUUUGCGAUUAAGGUGGGUUAAUCAUCGGUUUACUCCUAAGUGCCUAUAUAGUCGACAUGUAAUUGUGGAAUUAUCUUGUGUGGCGCAAUUGCUCGGUUCAUUGAUUUAGUAUGGUUAAUAAUCUGAAUUGGAGCUGAGUUAUUAUCUUUGGAUAUAUAUAUACAUGUUGGACUUGGAUAAGACUUAGGAGAAAACUCGCGAUUAUGAUCGUCAUAUAUUUAAACUACCUGAUUUAGCCCUAGGGGCCGUUGUAUUAUUUUAUACUGUAGCAGUAUCCUCAUAGUGAGUAUUCCAGAUAGUUUAGCUUUCAGUUACGCUCGUGCCGGGAUGCCGAGUAUAUUUUUACAGUAGCGUUCAGGCUGUUCCGGACUGUUGGGUGCCGUCGGGGUUGACGGUGGACCCGUAUCGCCUUUUUGGCGUCGGAUUGUGCCGAGGGCACGUUACCUGUUGGUUGUUAGACCAGUUUGAGUCGGUUACUGGACUUUGGCUUUUGAGAGCCUGAUUGAGCUCGACAGAGAUACGCUGCAUACUCGGUUGGGUAGCUCCCACGAGUGCCACUCCGGAGACGGGCGCUGUGCUUUCGCGUUCGUGUCGCUCAUGCCGGUUGGACUUGCUCUCCACGGACUAGUAGUGUGGAGGUAGCUGGAUAGUCACAACUGAGCAGGGACGGGUGUGUUCACAGUCCCAGGGACGGGUAUGCUUACAGUCCCGAUUGGAUUGGGUCAAAUUUGACAUUUCCUACAGUUGGUUAAUGUAGAGCAUGAUAGUGUAGUGAUUCAUAGCAGUAGAUUUUAUUCCUGUAUUGACUACUAUCCUGGCUCCCUUCUGUAGACUUAGUGGGUAGACCGAUGUGGUUUAGGGCGGCACCCACUAAGGACUACCUGUUUUUAUAGUAGUUCUCACGCCCUGUUGUUACACAUUAUUUUUGCAGAGCCAUCGUCGUCGGCUGCUGCUAUCGCAGAUCAGGAUCGAGGCAAGGGCGUCACGAGUUAGAGCACUACCCGACAUGCCAAGCUAGAGGUACCCUACUGCUGGUAGAUAUUUUAUUUUGAGUUCAUGUACAUAGUAUACUUAACUCGCCAGUGCGAGUAGCUCUGUAUUUUGAUUUUUGGACUAUGUAUAUGGAUCUCCGUUUAUUUAGCUUCUGUUUACUCUAGCAGCUCUAUACUACUGUUUGUAGUAUUGUUUGGUUUACAGAUACAGCUGUCGCUUCGUAUACAGGAAAAAUUCCUUUGCAUACGGCGGAUUUGUCGGCGUGCCCGUGGAACGUGUAAUCCGGGGCGUGACAGAUUAAGUUGGUAUCAAAGCUUAGCUGUAGGUCGUUGGGACCUAGAAAACCUAAGUUUGGCAAACCUUAGGAAGGCAAGACGCGAGAGGCGUAAUUUAUUGCGAAAGUCAAUGAUUAAUUGUUCUAACUCCUCCUAGAGUGGAGUGAGUGAUUGAAGGAGUUCCUGUUUUGGCUUGAGAAAUUAUGUUAGCUGCAGACGACAUAAUUUUGGAGGGAAACAGGGGGCCGCCUUCUAGACUUUCUUUUGAUUGGGUUGAGAGUGUUUGUAUUGUAUCUGACCUCUAUCUGUUUCUUGCAGCUAUGUAUCGUCGCCGAGGUCGACCGUCAUUAUGAGAGCGUGCGCAGUUGGCGCAGGAUCGUGCUAGAUCUUCCGAGAUGCCUGAGCAGAUGGAGCAGGGUACUCGGCAGGAGCAGGGUGACAGGCCGGAGGCGAGUGCACCCCCUGUUGUGGAGCCGAGUGCGCGACCUGAGGCUAGCGCACCCCCUGAUCUGAGUGCACAGUUAGCUGCCCUGACUGAGGUGACGAGGCAGCAGGGGGAGUUGUUGCAGAGGUUGUGUGAGAGGGUGGCUCAGACACCGAGUGCUGCACCGAGAGUACCAGAGCAGACUGUUCCGCCACCGACUACUCCAGUGUCAGCUCCAGCCACAGCUAUGCCCCCACCAGUGGAACUUCCUGCAGUGCCAACUGCGCCUGCUAGGGGGCCCGUACAGUUGACUGAUGCCGAGCAGGAGCGGUGGACGAAGAGGUUGGCUCGUUUUCGCCGUUUUGAUCCACCGAUUUACGAUAGCAGAUGUACUGAGGCCUGGGUUGUUGAGGGAUGGGUCAGUGCGAUGGAGAAGCUAUUUGAGGAUCUGUUCAUUCCGGAGGGGGAGUAGGUACCUCUGGGAGUACACUGUUUGGCAGGUGAUGCUCAUGACUGGUGGCGGAGAGCAAGGCGAGACCAGGGGCUGGUGGCGGCGCAGCUGAGGUGGGAUGAGUUCUGUGGAAUGCUGUUUGGGAUGUUCUUUCCCAACAGUGUGAAGCAGAAGCUCGAGGAGGAUUUGAGGAGGCUUCAGCAGGGAGAUCGCCCAGUGCAGGAGUAUGUUCGGGAGUUUACUCGACUCCUGAACUGUGUACCAUUUGCGGCCAGAGACGAAGCGCACAUGGUGUAUAUGUUCGAGCAGGGGCUGAGACUGGAUAUCUUUAGGUUGACUCGGACGCAGAGGUCGAGGACUCUGGAUGCGUCUAUAGAGCAGGCCUUGUGGGUGGAGCGAGGUAAGACAUCGCUACAGGAGAGGACUCAGGCCGUGGGGCAGAGUCAGGAUAGGAAGCGCCCUUUUUCAGAUGACGGAGGACAGUCGAGCAGCAAACGUCCGCCGAGGCCUCCACGAUCACGUUCUCAAGGUCGUGGGUCUUCGGGGCGUCAGCGUUCCAAGGGAUCCCGUCAGCAGGGGCAGACUCAAAGUACGCCACAGUGUGUGAUCUACGGGGGACCACACUGGCCCCGACAGUGCGAGCAGAGAGAGGGCAAGUGCUACGGAUGUGGUCAGCCGAGACACGUGAGGGCAGCUUGUCCCCGAGCAGCGUCUCCAGCACCAUCAUCAGCUUAAGCACCACCAGCACCACAGCAGUCUUACGGCGCAGCACCAAGUUACCGCCAGGAGGACAGAUCGUCUGUGCCGCGGUCGAGUGAGCGGCGACAACAGGCUCCGAGUGGUAGGGUCUACGCAGCUCAGGUGGAGGACUCUACAGCAGCCGACCGAGUGGUGGCAGGUAUCACUUUGAUUUCUGGCAUUAGAGUUCGCACUCUUUUUUAUACCGGUGCAUCGCAUUCCUUUGUUAACCGAACAUUUACACAGUUGCAUGGUCUAGAGUUAGGAGCGUUGUCUCAGGCACGAGAGGUGCAGAUCCCAGACCAUGUUUUGCAGGUGAUGGAGUGUUGUUGGUCAUGUCCGGUGCAGUUAGACUCGUGGAUUAUGCCCGCAGACCUGUUGGUGUUAGGGCAGCUACAGGACUUCGACGUCGUGCUCGGUAUGGAUUGGCUGGCGCGGUACUAUGCUACGAUCGACUGUGGAGCGAGGACGGUGACGUUUCGCGAGCCAGGCCAGGAGGAGUUCACUUUCAGAGGCUGUAGGAGCACGCUGUUUGCUACUUAGAUAUCUUCGGCGAGGGCUCGACAGAUGCUGAGUAGUGGGUGUAUCGCUUUCCUAGCGACUGUUGUGGAGGUACCUACGGUGGCGCCGGGACUUGAGGACAUCCCAGUAGUCCGCGAGUUUCCGGAUGUGUUUUACCCUCAGUUGACGACGUUGCCGCCGAAGAGGGAGGUUGAGUUUGUGAUUGAUGUAGUUUCUGGAACUGCACCAAUCUCAAAGGUACCUUAUCGGAUGGCGCCGGCAGAGCUGAGAGAGCUAAAGGCACAGCUUCAGGAUCUGAUGGAUAGAGGGUUUGUGAGACCCAGUGUGUCGCCUUGGGGAGCGCCGGUGUUAUUUGUAAAGAAGAAUGAUGGUUCGCUCAGGUUAUGUGUGGAUUACCGGGAGCUGAAUAAAGUGACCAUCAAGAAUAAGUAUCCCUUGCCGCGUAUUGAUGAUUUGUUUGAUCAGCUGCAAGGAUCUUAUGUCUUCUCAAAGAUUGAUCUCCAGUCGGGUUACCACUAGUUGAGGGUGAGGGCUGAGAAUGUUCCCAAGACGGCUUUCCGGACUCAGUACGGACAUUGUGAGUUCACGGUGAUGCCUUUUGGAUUGACGAAUGCCCCUGCCGCAUUCAUGAAUUUGAUGAACCGAGUGUUCAAGCCGUUCUUGGACAGGUUUGUGGUAGUCUUCAUUGAUGACAUAUUGAUAUACUCCCGGAGCGAUGCUGAGCAUGAGGAGCACUUGAGGACUGUGCUACAGCUUCUGCGAGAGAAGAAGUUGUAUGCCAAGUUAAAGAAGUGCGAGUUCUGGUUACGGGAGGUCACUUUCUUGGGCCACGUGAUAUCAGCAGAGGGAGUAGCAGUUGACCCGAAGAAGAUUGAUGCGAUUCGGGGUUGGCCUAGACCGACGACGGUGACAGAGGUGCGGAGUUUUCUUUGAUUAGCAGGAUAUUACCGUCGGUUUGUGGAAGGCUUUGCGAAGCUUUCCACACCUCUCACUCGAUUGACGCGCAAGGGGAUUAGAUUCACCUGGAGUGAGGAUUGUCAGAGGAGCUUUGAUAAGUUGAGACAGAGGUUGACGUCAGCUCCUAUCCUUGCCCUUCCUGUGAUGGGGGAAGGAUUUGUAAUCUACAGUGAUGCGUCGCACAGUGGACUCGGUUGUGUGUUGAUGCAGCAUGGUAGGAUAAUUGCUUAUGCUUCACGGCAAUUAAAGGAUUAUGAGAAGAAUUACCCUACGCAUGACUUGGAGCUUGCCGCGGUGGUUUUUGCUCUGAAGCUCUGGCGGCAUUACUUGUAUGGCGAGCACUGCGAGGUCUUCACCGAUCAUAAAAGUCUCAAGUAUCUGUUCACACAGAGAGAGCUGAACCUGAGGCAGCGCCGGUGGUUGGAGUUACUGAAGGACUAUGACAUUAGUAUUCAGUAUCAUCCCGGCAGGGCGAAUGUUGUCGCAGAUGCGUUGAGCAGGAAGUCAGUGCAGAGCCUGAGUUUGAGAAUCACUGAGCAGAGACCCCUUCUCGAGGAGCUGCAGCGGCUGGGACUCGAGAUAGUACCCCCUGGGUCUACGGCGAGGCUGACGUCUCUAGUUUUACAGCCCACUCUGUUGGAUAGGAUCCGAGAGAAACAGAGUGGAGAUCCGUACUUGAUGAGGAUUAGAGAGCAGCUAAACAGGGGGCAGGGUGAGGGUUUUGGUUUAGACAGUUCGGGAGUACUACGGUACAGGGACCGACUGUGUGUGCCUGUGGAUUCUGAGAUUCGAGCAGACAUUCUGAGAGAGGCUCAUUGUUCUCCUUAUACGGUUCACCCUGGGAGAAUCAAGAUGUAUAAGGAUCUUAAGGCACGGUUCUGGUGGCCUGGAAUGAAGAGGAACAUUGGCAGAUUUGUGGUUCAGUGUUUGACUUGCCAACAGGUGAAGGCCGAGCAUCAGGUGCCUGCUGGCAAGCUUCAGAGUCUGCCAGUGCCCGAGUGGAAGUACGAGUACAUCACGAUGGACUUCGUCGUUGGAUUGCCUAGAGGGCAAGGAGGCUACGACGCGAUUUGGGUGAUAGUGGACAGACUGACCAAGUCUGCUCACUUCCUACCGGUUCAGACUACCUGGUCCAGAGAGAGAUUCGCGCAGCUAUACCUGGAUGAGAUUGUCUGGCUACACGGCGUGCCGGUAUUGAUUGUGUCAGACAAAGACCCGAGAUUUGUAUCUCAGUUUUGGAGGAGUCUACAGACAGCCUUGGGCACUCCGCUGCAUUUCAGCACGGCGUUCCACCCACAGACAGAUGGUCAGUCAGAGAGAACCAUACAAACUCUAGAGGACAUCCUGAGAGCAUGCGUCCUGGAUUUUGGAGGAGGGUGGUAUCGGCAUUUGAGACUGACUGAGUUUGCGUACAACAACAGCUAUCAAACGAGCAUCCAGAUGGCUCCGUUUGAGGUGUUGUAUGGACGGAGAUGUCGAUCCUCUUUGUUCUGGAGCGAUGUGGCUGAGAGGACUUUAGGACCUGAGAUUUUGCUAGAGGCUGAGGAAAAGGUGAGAGUUGUUCGACGACACCUUUUGACAGCCUAGAGCAGCCAGAGGAGCUACGCCGAUAUCAGGAGACGAGACUUAGAGUUUCAGAUUGGAGAUCAUGUUUUCCUCAAAGUCUCGCCGUCCAGAGGGAUACGUCGAUUUGGGGUACGUGGAAAGCUCAGUCCACGAUUCGUUGGCCCUUUCGAGGUAUUGGAACGAGUUGGACCAGUUGCUUACAGGAUAGCUCUACCCCCGCGACUUGCUGGCAUCCACAAUGUUUUCCACGUCUCAACUUUGAGGAGAUACGUUUUCGAUCCCUCUCACGUGAUCGACUUCACUCCACUCGAGAUUGGCGAGGAUCUAAGAUACGAGGAGCGACCGUUGCGGAUUCUUGCUCGAGAGACAAAAGAAUUGCGCAACCGGAUCAUUCCGUAUGUGAAAGUGUAGUGGAGCAAUCACGAGGAGCGGGAGGCGACUUGGAAGCCUGAGACAGUGAUGAGGGAGUCUUACCCAGACUUGUUUGAUUCUUCAAGUUGAGGUAUGUGCUAAGUUUCGAGGACGAAACUUUUUGUAGUGGGGGAGAAUGUAGUAUCCUUAUAUAUAUAUAUAUAUAUAUAUAUAUAUAUAUAUAUAUAUAUAUAUAUAUAUAUAUAUAUAUAUAUAUAUAUAUAUAUAUAUAUAUAUAUAUAUAUAUAUAAUGCCACGUGCCCCCAUGCAUGUAUUUCAUGCUUAUCUAAUUAGGGGGUUGUACAUGCCUCCUUAAUUAAAAUUUCCUCCCUCUCUGUCUCUGGAGCCAUACGCGAGGAGGAGGAGCUUGGGUGGAGCGUUCGUCGCCGACGUCGCAUCGCCAAGCCGUUUGAGCGCACGUUUGUCGCCGUAGCGUCGCGUGGAGGCCGGGCAAGGGUGCGUUUUCGCCGUCCUCGACGUCGCACCGGCGCUGGAUUCGCUGUCGAUGUGGGUACCUAACUUUCCUCCUUGGAUUACUUGAAUGCAUGAUUUUGAGCUCGCGUGCUGAUUUUAUUGAUUUUCAGCGUCGACCGUCAGUGUUUCGGCUCGUACUCUGCGUAGGAACGUCGGAUUUCGACGGGACUUGGUUCGUUGGAUUCAGGACGUCGAGAGGAAUCCACGAAGCCCUUAUUUGCUGGAUUGUGCCGAGGUAGUUCCAGCAGUAUAGUGAUUCAAUCAAGCUAAAAAGCCUGAUUGAGCUCGACAGAGAUACGCUGCAUACUCGGUUGGGUAGCUCCCACGAGUGCCACUCCGAAGAUGGGCGCUGUGCUUUCGCGUUGGUGUCGCUCAUGCCGGUUGGACUUGCUCUCCACGGACUAGUAGUGUGGAGGUAGCUGGAUAGUCACAACUAAGCAGGGACGGGUGUGUUCACAGUCCCAGGGACGGGUAUGCUUACAGUCCCGAUUGGAUUGGGUCAGAUUUGACAUUUCCUACAGUUGGUUAGUGUAGAGCAUGAUAGUGUAGUGAUUCAUAGCGGUAGAUUUCAUUCCUGUAUUUACUACUAUCCUGGCUCCCUUCUAUAGAUUUAGUGGAUGGACCGAUGUGGUUUAGGACAGCACCCACUGAGGACUACAUAUUUUUACAGUAGUUCAGUCACGUCCCGCUAUCGCCAACUUGGUCGAUCCUGGUCCGUACACAGACGUCGAACGAACAGAACCUCCGCUGUCCGCCCAAGGCUCAACAACAAGUACAUGUAUAAAGAAAUAAACAAUUCCCAGGAUAACAUUUCAAUAUACAUGACUUGCACGAGGGCAAGCAACAAGAACAAGUGAAAGUAACUAACUAUAAAUGAAAUUCACUGUCAUUUAAAACUUUUUAAAUUGAACUGAAUAACUGAAAGAUUUAGUUAUAUACAUGCUCUCUAAUACAUUCAUUUACAUGUCUCUAUACAUCAAAACAUCUCACAUGAACUCAAAAUGGUAUGCCACUAGCACUCGGGUGUCCACUAGCUAAGCUGCUGGGCUCUUGCCGCGAUCCUCGGCCACACCGCUCGCGCUGGAACCUGUAUGGUUAGUGGUGUGAGAACUACUAAAAGUUUUCAGUAGGUUCGGCCGCCGACCUCGCCGACUCACCCACUAGGUCUAUUCAGGCAUAUGUAGGCAAGAAAAGUAAACAGAUAGUAACCAGCUAUAACAUGUAACUACUACAAUACCUGUGCAAAGCUGAAAGAAGUAGUAUAUGAAAACUGUAAAUAUGCAUGCAUGCUCUCACUGAAAUUACCCAAUUCUUUUGGUUAACCCUUUGGUUAACAAUAACUCACUGACGCUAUCCCAAAUAUCGGGGAGACGCAACCUGCACCCGACGGGACCGUCAACUGGGGGAGACGCACCUCCUGGUCCAAUAAAGAUGACUACUCCGGAG
rnacentral:lncRNA from 1 species